CUACUACUAAAAGACGAAAGGAUGCUACUAAGAGACAGAUUGAAAUCACUUCUAUCAUAAAUUAAAAGGGUACGCAAUCUAUCAAGUCCACGAAUGGAUAUAGGAAAUGAAGUGCCUCUUUGAAAAUUUAACCCUAAGUGACGGACUUUGUCACCAAAAGAGUUUAUGACUGAGUCUUUGGUACCAUUAAUUUCUACCCACAAACAUUCUUUUCUACUUACAAAUUGGGCAAAAUCAUGUAUUAUGUCAUGCAUCUUGCAGCUCAUAAUAUCAUCAUCAUCAUCUUUUUUAAACUCUUGAAAGAAAGAGCGUGCUGCUAAAAUGUUGAAAUACUCUUCCCCAAUCAUCUCCAUCUCUUCGUCUUCUUCUGUAUUAAGAUAACCUUGAGCCAUCCAUAGUGAAAUUAGUUCCUCUUUAUUCAUAUUGUAGUUUUUUGGAAAGACAGCACAAUAUGAGAAACAUUGUUUUACCAUAGAAUUGGAGGGCAAAUCGUUAUAACUCAACAACAAAGGAGCUAAAAGACCUUGCCCAAUUGCUUCUACUUUCCACAUUUCACUCUCUAAAAUUCUUUGCCACUCUUUUACUGUACUUUUAGAGCGCAAGAGAUUCCCUAUUACCUUUGCAGCAAGAGGCAGGCCUUUGCACUUAUGUGCAAUUUUGCGCCCGAUUGGUUCUAAUUUUUCACGAUCCUCAAAGGACCUACGUAGAAAUGCCAUCUGCUUAAACAGUAACCAACAUUCCCCUUCUCCCAACUCCUUGACAGGGAUAAUAUCUAUUGAUCCCAACUGUAGUGCAACUGACCUAUCACGUGUGGUAAUUAGAAUUUUACUUUCAUGGUGGCCAUUCUUUAGACAAGAAAAGAAUGGGUCCCAUUUUUUGUAAUCUACAUCCCACACAUCAUCUAAAACAAGAAAAAACUUUUUUCCUUCAAUUGAUGUAUGGAUAUGGCUCAUAAGAGAUUGGAAUUCGCUUAAAUCAUAAGCUUCUUUUGACUUGCCUAGACCUUCAAUGAUUGCUUUGGCAACCCUAAUCCUCUCAAAAGUGUCUGAUACACACACCCAUAUAACUUUUUCAAAAUUUCUUUUCACCUCAUCAUUAUUAUAGGCCAGUUGUGCAAGAGUGGUUUUACCUAUACCCCCUAACCCAACUAGUGAGAUGAUAUGAAGGCCUUCUUGUUGUUCACUACUUUGACACAACAACUUGCUUAAGAGCUCAUCUUUCUCAUUAACUCUACCGCAAACCUCUCCCUCAUCAAUCAAGGAGGUGGUUCGCACUCGCUCUGGUUUCUUGACAUUGUUACUCACAUUCUCAACAAAUUUAAACAUAUCUUUUCGAGUGGCAAUACCAUCUAGCUUUUCAUUGAUUUCCCUAAUCUUGACAGCAAUGUCAUGACGAAGACUGAGUUGUUUGAAACUGCCACAGCAGUUUGAUACAGCACAAAAGAAGGAACGUACCUUCUUCUUAUGAACGCCCUCAAUCUGCAAUUUGAGCCUUGCAGUGGUCCACUCCUCCAACACAUCUUCCAUGUCGUAAGAUGCGUCUUUGAGCUGAUCCAGCCAAAAAGUAACAUCUUUCUCGUGCUGCAUUUGCCUUUUCUCUGCAUCUUCCAGCACAAGUUGAAUGGCUUGUAGAUUGCUGGUGAGCUUUUUCACUUCUUCGUCGACACCAGUAACAAGCCUCACCUGUUGUUUCAGUUCAUCAGUUGCAACUGAGCUCAGCUGCUCCAGGAGAGAGGAAACGAUCGCAUCAACCAUUCUGACAAAGAAGAUGAGAAUUCUGAAGAGUUAUUAGAUGUGCUUUUGUUGCGAAGAUAUGAAAGAAAGGAGUUAUUGCAUUCUUUUAUACUGCAUAGAAAAGGUUUAUGCUUAUCCCCACCCCACACGUCAAUGAUUGUAGAAUGUUUAAUUUCCCUGAUUCUACUCCACUAGUUGUGAUGCGUAAUUAUAAAUAUUCUCAAGUUAUGUAUGAAAAUCCCACAAAUUUGGAUCUAGUAAUGAUUUUUAUGUAUUUUUUCAUAAUCUUCUAAAAUACUAUAUCUGCAUGUUAUUUCGUGCAGAAAUAUGGCAUUGGGUGAAAAAAGUUAUGCUUAUCCCCACCCACACGUUAGUAAUUGUAGUAGCAUCUGUAAUUUCCAUGAUUCUACUCCACGGACGAACACAUUUUUUGUACUAACAUCUUUAAAUUCCCACACGUUAGGAAUUUGGCACAUAAUCUCAAACUCGUCGCAUCUUUAACGUAUGAGGUUGAUGAAUAAAUUCUUUUCUCAUAUCAAUUUAAAACUCCGAGAUUAUGUGCCAAAUUCCUAACGUGUGGGAAUUUUACCUCCUAAGUAAUCCGGCCCACUGCCAAGUGCCAACUUUUUCUCUGUCGAGUUAAUGAUGUUGUUUUGUUUUCCUUGUUUUAAUUAAUGUUGCGGAGAGAAACAGAUCGAUGCAAAUGGCUAGCCAGGUUUUGCAGAAACCGUGAAUGGUCUUGCAUGCAUGUGACAUAAAGCUUUAUAUAUAGCUUAUUCCUCCAUCAACAUUUCAAUGGUUCCAUCUCACGUGCACUUGGCUAUGAAUAAGGUCCAUGCAUGGAUCGAUCGAUUUAGGAGUUUGGACCAUCUCAUGCUGCAGAGUUAUGUGUCAUGUAUGUGUGUUGACACUUGCCAGUUCAUUUUUGUUAUAAAGAUUAUUGAUACUCGUAAAUGUACUACUUACAAAUCAUAAAUUUUGAGUUUGACACUUUAGUUUCAUUUUGUAAUCCCUACGCUCUUUAAAUAUUUGUAAUAAUAUAUUUCAAACUUUAACUCAGACGUAAUGAAUGAAGGGGGAUCCUCUUCUUAUAUAAAUUUUUAUUUUUUAACGUUCAAGUUACAUUUGAUUACGUGUACUUAUUAUCUAGUUUUGACUAUCUAAUGACAUUUGAUUACGUGUACUUAUUAUAUGAUUUUUUUUUAAAUGAUGGGUCUGGUGAGAUUUUUUACAUCUUGGAUUAGUAGGUCAAGAACGGGCAGGGCAGGGCCUUCUCUGAAGUCAAUCUUGUGAGCAACACCAGCUUUUUGGAUAAUUGGCAGCCCCAAUUCAUAAUUUUCUCAGUUGAUGUCCAUGGCCAAAAUCUGCAACCGAAGCUUAUUCUACUCUUAUUAAUCGAGAGAUAAUUUUAUCUCUAACUAAUUUAAUUGGGAGGAAAAUUGAGAGAGAUAUCCACUCUGUCCUUAUUAAUUGAGAGAUAAUUUUACCCUUACCCAAUUUAAUUGGAAAGGAAAUCGAAUUCCAACAAUAACUAGGACUUGAAUCCAUGCACUUAAGCUAACUUUAAGUUUUAGGAUGCAUGGUUAUAAUGUUCUUUAUUUAAAUCCUAACAAAUGGUGGGACUUGAACUUGUGCCUACAAACAUUGAGUGCUUAGGGGCUGCAAAAUUUCAUAACUUAAUUUUAGUUGAUGUGGUAUGUGCCCUAUCACAUAAAUAUGUAGAUAAUAAUAAUUAAUACAUUAACAAAAUGAAAAAUAUUAGUUUACAAAAUACAAAUCCAAAUUUUUUGUGUGACAAGGGACUUAAAAGGGAGAGACUAAACAAAUGUGGUGAAAACGACAUGUAUUACUAAAACUAAAAAUACGAAGUCUAGGCAAUUGAAAACAUCGGGUUUUUUAUUUAAAUAUCCCCAAUUUGUCCUUAAAUACCAAAUUUAUACCCUAUUAUAUACAUAUACCUCACGAAGAUAGGGAAAAUAAAAAAUAACCUUAAAAAAAUCAAGAAUCCACACAUUUCUUCCUCUCAGUGCAGGAAGAUGUCGAGUACGAAGUCGGGUAAGUCGAGAAUUUAGUCGAGCAAGAAUUGGAGAUAAGUAAGUUGAGUAUAUGGUCCAGUAGGAAGUUGAGUAAGCAUAUUAAAUGAGUCCAGUAUUAAGUGGUAGAGUAUUAAGUAAAAGUCAAGUAAAUUUUUUAAACAAGUCAAAUAAAAUUUAUGUAAUUUUUAAAGAGGUUGAGUAUUAAGUCGGGUUAGUACAUUGGGUCGAGUGUUAAUAUUUUUAAAGAAGUGAAGUCUGGUAAGUUGAGCAUUCAGUCGAGUAAGAAGUUAAGGCAAUUGAAUAAGUCGAGUCUCUAGUCGAGUACGAAGUCGGGUAUAAAGUCUGGUAAGUUGAGCAUUCAGUCGAGUAAGAAGUGAAGGCAAUUGAAUAAGUCGAGUGUCUAGUCGAGUACGAAGUUGGGUAUGAAAUCUGGUAAGUUGAGCAUUCAGUCGAGUGAGAAGUGAAGGCAAUUGAAUAAGUCAAGUAUCUAGUCGAGUACGAAGUCGGGUAUGAAGUAUGGUAAGUUGAGCAUUCAGUUGAGUAAGAAGUGAAGGCAAUUGAAUAAGUCGAGUACGAAGUCGGGUAUGAAAUAUGGUAAGUUGAGCAUUCAGUCGAGUGAGAAGUUAAGGCAAUUGAAUAAGUCGAGUAUCUAGUUGAGUACGAAGUCGGGUAUGAAGUUUGGUAAGUUAAGCAUUUAAUCGAGUAAGAAGUGAAGGUAAUUGAAUAAGUCGAGUAUCUAGUUGAUUACGAAGUCGGAUCUGAAGUCUAGUAAGUUGAACAUUCAGUUGAGUAAGAAGUGAAAACAAUUGAAUAAGUCGAAUAUCUAGUCGAGUAAAAAGUCGAGUAAGUAGAUUGAAUGAGUAGGGUAUUAAUUUUUUGUUGGCAUUUUAUUGAGGCUAUUUUUGUACUUUCUUUGGUUUUUUAAGUAUGUAUAUGCAAAGUACAGAUUUUAAUAGAUGGAUGUAUAUUUUGGGUAUUACGAGAGAAACGGGGUAUAUCCCACGCAAUUCCUUCGAAAACAUCUCUGUCAAUUGCAAUGAACAGAUCACAACCCUUCAUAAUUAAACAAAAUCAAACUUGAAAAAAAAAAUCACACACACACACACAAAACAAUCACAAAAACUAUUUGUUCUGAUCAUCCCUGCUUUUUUUUAGCGUAGCUCUUGGAAUGAAAAUUAACAAAAAGUGUCAAAAGAGAAGCAUUAAACACAGCAUUGAAGCACCAGCCCAAAAUCCCAGAGCAACCAAAUCCCGUAAAAUGAUAAUACAGCAUCAAAACCGAAACAACAAAACUAAACACAAACUGAACAAUCUAACAAUCAGUGACCAAUCUCUUCCACUUUGGCCGCAACCCCAUCACACACAAUAGAUAGUACCCGUACAUGAUCACAUGCACACUUGCAUUAGUCACAAGUGCAAUAGGAAACAAAGACUGCUUCGUCUGUAACCAAAGGUAGCACAUUACGACGACGGUUGCAUGGUGGUAGACGUGGAGGAACGUGAGCCAUUGGAUGGAUUUUGACAAAAUGAUCAAAAGGGUGUCUAAGAAUUCGAGUAUUUUGGAGAGGUAGAAGAGGUAAGCGUAGAAGAAGAGGGGGCCAGACGGAGAAAUGGUGGGGGGGAAACAGAGGGUGUAAUGGAGGUGGGGCAAAUGGACGAUGAUGGAGAGAGUGCAGCCAACGGCCAUGAUGAGGGAGAGGAGGAGGAGGGUGAGGUUAUGGACGGCUGUGAUGGGCUUGAGGAUGUGGGGUCCAAUGAGAGGUGAUGAUGAUGGUGAUGUUGAUGUUGAUAUGUGGUAGAGGAUGAAUGUGAGGGAGAGGUAAGUGAGGAUGGAGAGAAUGAGGAAGUGUGGGGAAGAAGCUAGUGUUUGGUUCUGAGUCCAUGUGAAGCUGAGGAUUUGGGGGUGGUUUACAAGACAAUAUUGGAGUGUUGAGGUGAUUGAAUUUGAAGCCAUGGCUAGUUUUUGGGGGAAGAAAGAUUUUGGAAGAGAUGAUGUUGAGAUGAACGGGGGAGUUUAUAAAGUUUUGGGAUAAUGUGGAGGGUAUUUUGGACAUAUUGUUGUCUCAGCUUAAAUUUUGGGAAAAAGAUGAUCAAUAAGAAGCUCUUUUUUUCAUAUCAAUUUAAAACUCCGACGGUGUUUCCAAAAAUUGUUUUUCUUUUUCCGUUUUUUAAUUUUAAAUCAUAAAUUUAGUAAAAGAAGUUGAAUCAAGUGAUCACUUUUUUUUUAAUGUAAAACAAUUAAUUUCUUUUGUGAUUUAAGCAAAUAUUGAGUUGCAUACUUUAAAUAUAUUAAUAUUUGAUUCGAAAUUUCAUCUACCGAAACUACAAAAAUUAAUAUUUUCUAUUAAAUCAAAACCAAAAUUAAAGAUGACUCCUUGUCUGCCAACUGUCAUUAAACAAAGCCAUCACUCACGUGAAAAAAAAAAGUGAUAUAUUCAUUUUAACGUAAUUUCAUACCAACAUAUCAUUCUUUUUUUUCCAAUAAUGACCUCUUUAAUUAUAAAAUAUGGUAAAAGGGGAUGGGUUCGAGGUAUGGCGUCCGGGCCUUUGUGACAACGGUAUCUUUGGACGUGGGUGUCGUUAGAUUUUUGGCUAUUUUCUGGUCAAUCAAACUGGUGGAUCACAUGCAUUUUAAUGACCUCUUUAAUUAUAAAAUAUGGUAAAAGGGGAUGGGUUUAAGGAAUGGCGUCCAGGCCUUUGUGACAAAGUUGGAUGUGGGUGUCAUUAGACUUUUGGCUAUUCUGCUCAAUCAAACUCGUGGAUUACAUGCACUCAACGCGGACAUUAUGGAAAUGGGAGAAAAUUAUGUUAGUAAUAGCAUCUUCAAAAGUUUCUAUACAUUUUACUCUUUAAAUAUUUAUUUACUUAUUUAUAUGAUAAAUAGAAAGGUAAAAAAAUAUAUUAUUCUCCAAAAAACUCUUCAAAUAAAAAUAAGUUAAUAUUAUUUUAAUCAAAUAAUUAUUUUUUAAAGGAAAAGUUAACAGCAAUUAAAGCACUUCUCUUUCUCUCUCUAAUAAAAAGUAAUAAAAUAUUAAUUGAAGUGUUUUUUAGAACCUUAAAUGUUGAUGUGACUCUUCAAAUAAGUAAUAAAAUCUUAAUUGAAGAGCCUUUUGGUGAUGGUUUAAAACCCACUGUUUCGUUCUAAACUAAGUGAAUUUAUCUCGUGAGCUAAGUAGUUUAGGAGAUAACUCAAAUAAUUAACUUUUUAUUAGUUUAAUAAUAAGAAUUUUCGAUUAUAUUUUAAAAGUAUAAUUCAUUACAAAAAAUUACUUAAUAAAAAUAACUGUUAUUUAACAUAUUACAUUUUUUCAAUAAUAAAAUAAUUCAAAUUUUUAAUUAUUAUAACAAAAAAAUUUGUAAUAUAAUCCAUUCAUAUACCACAUCACGUAAAAUGUAACCUAGUACUACAUGUAAUCUUGUUACUACUAUUCCUAUAAUAUUCUACCACAUCAUAUACUAUCAAAUUCCAUCCGGCAUGCCAAAUGUGCAAAGUUUGAGUAAGACUUGUUAAAGUUGAGUAACAUCUUAUAUGGCCAAGCGCAUUGAGUAUGGAUUUGCAUGAUCGAGUGAGUACAACUAAAGUCGGGUAGAGUCUGGAAAAUCCCUAUAAUGUUGAGGUUGGAGAACUAUACUUUUUAAGGUACAUAAUUAAACAAUUUUGGUAAAUAUUUACUAUUAUAACUUAAAAAUUAAUUUGAUUUGAUCUCAUAUAUUAUUAUAAUAAAAAAACUUAUAAUAUCUUUAUUAAUUUUAUUAAAAAUUAUUAUUUAGAAGUCAUAUAUUUAUUACACAUUGUCAAAUUUCAGCUUUUUGUUUUUAACAACAGCUAGUAAUAUCAAACAAGACCUAAGUUGAGUAUGAUCAAUUAAUUAAAAUUAUGAUUUUUUUUUGUAUAAAAUAAUCAUUAGAUAAUUAGUCUGUAAAGAAUAUCGGCUACUUCAAAUGGAAACUUGCGAUAAAAAAUGCAUCACAAAAGUAACAAUGACACACUAUAUAAGAAAUCUGAAAUAGAAUUUGCAAAAUUGAACUGAGUUACGGAGAGUAAAUAAGACUCCAAAGGAACAUGGCAAUUAUUAUUAUCUAGGAAACAAUUCAUAGCUAAAACAAAAUUAACUAUACUUGCCAGGAAAUAUGGCGAAUUCCACCACCUCCUACAAGUUCUUAGGUGUCUUAGAGUUUGAUGACGACUUCCAUGCUGUGUCUCUUCGACAGGCAGCAAAAUUGGGCAAUUGACUACAUUAACUCCAAGAAAUUUAUGCAGUCACCUUCCUCCGGACUAUCCUCUUUCUUUGAGCUUUGGUUGCCCCUAUUUCCCCUUCAAUAGAGUCAUCACUGUUUUGUUUGAAGCCAAGGAGCCCAAGAUCAGAAAAAUGGCAUUCUUUGGUAUCAAUCCCUCGAUCCCCAAGUCACGUCACUAACUUUCUGUUGAUCGCGUAGCUAGUUCAUGUAUGCCACAGCAGCGGAAGGUAGCCUGAAGAAGAAAAAACCUCUCUCUCUUUCUUGCUCAGUAACCACCUGGGCACUUUUGUGCUGAGCCAUGACAUCCUGAGAUGGCCUGUUGUGUAAGCCUUCUUCAAAAGGUCAUCUGUCGAUCUUUCUCCUAAUUAGACAUCCAAAACCCAGCAUGGAAUCCAUUUGAGAAGGUGGACAAUAGACAAACUCCAACGCAUACAGACAGUAAAGAAGAAUUUAGACCGCAAUCACUGUGGCUGAAUAAAUGGGCCUAUUAAGCCUAUUAAAAGUUGGAACCAUAUUCACCACUCGCAGUUCCUUAGAGAACUUUAUCAGAAUUCUGAAAAUUUAAAACUAUUCUUACAUAUUUAACUGUAAAACAAGAGAAAUUGUACUUCCGUAGCAAAGUCUCACUAUUGGUAAGUAUCUGGACUUGGAAAGGAUGCUAGUUGAUUAAGUAAAGGAAAAUUGAAAUCAGACUUUGAGGUGAUAGAUCUAUAUACACUUUAAUCGGAACCACAUUAACAUCAUAUGAGCCAAACAAACAAAUUCCCCAGUCAAAGUUCAACAAACAAAACAUUAAAACAAGAGUAAUUUGGUGUAUCAAUGUAUAUAUAGAGAUGUCGAUCAUUGACAAAUACGUAAAAGAGGGAGGGAGAGACCUCAAAGCCGUGCUUAACAACAUUGCUACUCCAAUAACUUCAAAAUGGUUGGCGACGUCUCUAUCAAAGCCACACAAUAGCUGAUAUCUCAUGUUUGCAUGUAGUCCAAUGAAAGCACCAUAACCAAGAACAUUAGUACUCACAGAUGGGUUUGUCACAGAUAACCUGUCAGGCAAUAAAAAUUGCCCAAAUUAAACAAAUGUUAGACCGGCUUAGACAGUAAACGGAACAAUAUUCUAAUUUUACUUUAUUUAUAACGAAUAAGUGAACAAAGGAAUGAAAAGGAAGUUUGGCAACAGUCUUUUUACCAGCCAGAUAGUUUGACAAAGAAUCUUGCACUGCUCCUGCAGCUAAUCCCACCAUACACAACUCUGCAGUCUUGUUUGGGAGUCAAAAUUCUCAAAAUGGGUAACUCUGUUCAAAUAUACUGUUUGGGAACUUUUGUAAUGUAUUUUGCAAGUCAAACAGGAAGGUAUUUCCAUAAGAAGGUUCACUUCACAUGCUCAACAAUUCAAAUUUGCGGAUGAUAUUUCUCAAAAUGGAGGGCUCUAUUUGGCUUGCCAACAAUCUUCCUCACCAUUAUCAUCCUUGCUAUACCGGUUAAACUGAACAGUCUUCAUUCUGACAUUUGCCCUAUUAACCUGAGUACACAAGAAUCCGAAACAACUGUUAGAAAUUAUAAUCUUUAUAUAUAGCCAAAAUGUUGAAUAAGAUGAUGUACUUGAUAAUAAAUACCUGAGUUAAUAAAUAAUUAAGGGGCCGGUAACAAUGUCAGCAUCUUAUCAAGUGGGGAAAGCCUACGCAACGAAGAUGCUGCCUGCUUUCAAGAAAUAAUAACUUUCCAAUUCCAUAAGGUAGGUUAAUGCCCUUUUAAAAAUAUCUCCACCAGCCUAACAAUUAUUCAUUGAAAUGUGUGAGUGUGAAUUCGAACGAAUUAAUCAAAUAUGAUGACACGAGAAAGAAAAUUAAAAUAACCACAAGAAGUAGAAAUAUACUUUUGUUAUAUUUAGUGCAUCUUCUGUGUGUGCUCAAACGCAAUGCCUCAAGGCGCAAGAUAAUUUUAUGACCAUCAAUCUUUUGCAGCCAUAUGCAGACUUGAAACAUUGGCGGUGGUUCUAAGGAACUUGAAAAUUAGAAAAGUUUCAAAAUGAGUGACUAAAUAUGAUAAUCGAAAUUAAUUAAAUAUACACGCCUUGUAAAUAUGAAACUAAAUUACUCAAAUGUAUGUGCCUCUUCGCAGCAAUUGCUCGUGGUGGAAACUUUACUGCAAAGACUUCCUCAAACCCUUGAAGAUCACACUCUUCCUGGCAACAAAGAAACAGAGUCGAUAUACGAAGAUGAUUUUACUAACAAGUGAGAGCUUGCAAAUAUUGGAAGGAUAACGAUUGCUCAUAACCCAAAUCCCCAAUACCCUCUAAUAUCUCACUCGAGUGAGUUCAAGCCCCCAAAAUUCACUACAGUGAAACUCUCGAAACAAAAUUCUCUUCAAAUAUUCUCAACUCAAAUUUGAUAAUGAUAUCUCUUGAAGGAAGGCAAAAAAUCUAACACUGAUCAAAUUGGCUUGUGAACAAUUAAUGUUCCUGGCCAUCAUUCAUACUAGGUGUGGCGAACAAUUAAGCUGCUUAGUAUCCUGAACCUGAUAACUUACACAAACAAAAACAACUUGCCUAAAGUUUAAUAUUUAGAGGCAGAACGGUAAAGAAGAAGAUAUAUAUUGAUACUAAAAUUUGACUUGCGUUACCCUGAUGUCAAGAAUAGCGGGAUCUCAUGUGGGCAAAAUCUUCGCAAUACGAGAUGCUUGCAAAAUUGAAGCAGCAUCUUAUCACCUGUAAUUUAAUUAAGAUAAUAACUUUCCCCGACUAUUUCAAUGCAUUAUUGGCAACUAAAUUCAGAGGGCGCUAAUUAAAUACCCUUUUAACAAUAUCUUCUUAUUCUUCUCUAAUCUAGCAGUUAUUUGGAAAAUCUAAAUGACAGUCAUGCAUCAAUGGCGUCAAAAUUUGGCUACAAAGCAGCCUACAAAAGGCUUCACCCUCUGAAUGAGAGCAUGAAUUCGAAUAAUAUGAUGAAUGAAGAAACAAAGGCAUAAUACCACAAGAAGUCAAACUUUUCCCCAGAGCUCUGUUUCUGUUUGUGCUAAAGCAAAUGGAAACCAGUGGAAAUGAAUUUCUAUGAACUAGACAUAUCAGCCAAAACAGGUACUCUGUGCAAGCAAAGUAAAAAAGAGUUACAAACAAAUUUAAGAUUGAUAUGAUAAUUAAAAUUUCAGUCACCAUAUAAUUAAUAGAAAACUUUGUACACAAUGAUUUAUUGCAUAUUAAGAUUGUAUACCUAAAUUUUAAUUGCUAUGCAAAAUAUGAUAUUAGCAUUAGGAGACCGCACCAAAACGUACCGUAUUGAAUGUGCCUUUUCACAACCAUUGUACAAGCUUUGAAGCUUUGGCACAAAUGCUUUUUCAAACCCAUGAACAUGAUGCACCCGAGAGAUGCAAGAUAUGAAAUUGUUACAACAGCAGGCAUUGAAACAUUUGUUAAGAAAGGAAGUUUAUGAAAAUACGCCUUAACAUUCAUUAGAUACAUGUCUUCAGGAAUCAAUUCAUCUGUAAUAACAAUUUUCAAAGAGCAUUAACUGCUUUAAGCCCCUCAACAUCACAGAGAUCUUCAAUUAAAAUAGCGCAGAUCCGGCCAUCACUAUUACUUCUACUGCUCUUUCGCUUUAGAGAACGCUUGAAUUACAGAAUGCAUGUAAGGCUUUCUUGUUUAAGGUCCAGCAAACCUUGCACAAUAACAACAGAGGCAGUGGUUCCAUUGCCAGCCUAAUCCUUGGUCUCACCAAUGUUCUGCACGAGUAGGAAAUCAACCUUAAAAUUAAGAAUGAGUUGCAAAAACUGUUUAUGGCCCUAAAGAACUUGAAAAUCGGAAAUGAUUAAGAAUGAGUGAGUAAACAUUUUAAUCGAAUAAACAUACAAAACUUGAAAACCUAACAUUGAAGUACUCUGAAUGAAUGUGCAAUUGCACGAGCUGGUGACAACUGACUUUACUGCAAAGGCUCUUUCAAACCCUUGGAGAUGAUAAAAAUAAAAAUGCAAUGCUUGAGCUUGAGCUUGAGCUUGUUUUAACAUCAUCAUAGUAGGGAAUUUUGAUAUAUCUUUACUUCUCUGUGGUUCAAUCAUUUACUUCUCUGUUCUUGUUUAUUCACAACAAGAUAUCAAUAGAAGAAGAUGGAAAUGAAAUUCUAUAAAAUAAAGCAAGUGAAUUACCAGCAGAACAUUUUAGCAAUCCUUUGGCUAAACUUUUCAUUUUCUUAGCAUACUCUCCUGCCUGCAUCAUUAAAACCAAAUUAGAUUGGACCUGUGAAUUGCUAGUGUGGUUCUGACAUUUCCUCGAAUCCCUGGUGAACAUAAUUAAACGCGUAUGAAAUAAAACAAAGUGGGCUAAUGUACUACUAAAAACAAUUACACAAUUACUUUAAAGAAUUAAUGUCACAUAAAUUAUAUAUAAAAAAAUAAGAUUAUCAUUAUACAAGAUAAAAUUGAUAAUUUAUUUUUCAACAUUACUGCAAAUGUAUUACAGAGAUUUUGUCUCUCAGGAAGUUACACAUAACAAAUUUUCGUACAUUAAAAAAUAAAUUACAUUGGGAUUUUCUAUGAUGUUGUAUGCAAUUUUACAAAAGAGCACAUAUUUUUUAAAAGUAAAUAAAUAUAGAAAUUUAAACAGACUACACUUGUAUUUUUUUAUUAUUUAAUCUUUAGAAAACAAGUUUAACAGAAUUGAUAACUAGGAAGUUUUACAUAUUAUUUCAUUGCAAGCAACAACGAAGUAAAUCAGAGGAGGAGGAGAAAUUACCGGCGAGUGAUAUCUUACGGCUACCACGUGAUGUGGGGAAUGUGAGAUAUCUUCUCCUUUCCCCUCUCUAUGACGGUUUUCCAAAAGGGGACAUCCCCAAAUUGUCAAUUUCUGCAGCGUCGUCGUUCGAAGGAGGUAAUCCGGCAGCACCUUUAAUUUGGGGCAAUCCCCAAUUAGCAGGGAAGAAAGACGUGGUAUGUCUGUUGUCCUGCGAUCUUCUAGAAUGGGCAGUUCUUCCAAAUUUUUACAAGAAUAAAUACUCAGUUCCUGCAGCGUCGUCGUCCGAAGAAGGUAAUCCGGCAGCACCUUUAAUUUGGGGCAAUGCUCAAUUUCCAAGGAAGAAAGACGUGGCAUGAUGGAGAUGUUUUCCUUCCUCGUAAUCCUGUAAUUCCACUCUUCCAAUUCAUCCAAGAACCAAAUUUUGAGAGAUUUCAAUUUGGGGAAGGCAAUAACUGAUGAUGACGAUGAAGAUGAAGAUGAGUCGUCCUCACCGCUUUCUUUUAUUCCCAAAAACUCAUUACCCACUCUUUUUACACUUUUCAAAUUGCAUAGGAUGAGUUUUUCCGGAGGCAAUUUUCCCAAAGGAGGCAAAUGCUCACAGUUAAAACACAAGGAAAGAUAUAAAUUCCUUAGAUUGGUUAGUAAAGUCAACCAUUUGGGAAAAAUGACGCCUCCAUAGGAUUCAAUCCCUAAUUCCUCUACAUUCAAAGGCGGUUGUAAGGCUUCAAGAAGUUGUUUAUCUUUCUCGUUCUUCCUCCUCCCUUCUUCGCCUUCCCCAUCUACGACUCCACCAAACACAAGACGCAAACGAAGGAGGUUUUUCUUAUUGUAAAGUUGUAACCUCUCAACCUCAUCUACAUGCGAUACAUUACUCAGCCCUUCUAUACUACAUUUACCACGGAGUUGAAGAUUUUUCAGAGAUUCAAGCCUACAUGUGCUGCCGCCAUCAACACCUCCACCCACAACAAACUUUUCUAAUGUUCGAAGGCUGGUCAAUCUGGAAAUCCCUAUUGGAAACUCCUCAUGUUCUUUAACUUCCCAAUCCCGGCUGGCAAUUCUCUAAGAUAUUUGCACCGCCUAAUAUCUAGCUUUUGUAAAUUAUAUAAUUCACACAAAGUCUCAGGUAGUCUCGCUAUAUAUAAUUUAGACAACUUAAGAUAUUAAGAUAUUUUAAAUGUAUCAAUUUUCCAACAUUAUUUGGAAUUUCUGUAAUCCAAUUUGUGCCUUCAUACAAAAGCUUGAUCGAUUGCCUUAUAACUAAUGCCCUUAAACAUGCCAAUUUAUUAAAUAACUCCCGAAGGAUGCUAUUAUUAAGAGACGGAUUGAAAAAACCUUCAUCAUAAAUUAAUAGGGUACGCAAUCUAUUAAGUCCAUAAAUGGUCAUAGGAAAUGAAGCUCCUCCUCCAAAAUUUAACCGUAAGUGACGGACUUUGUCACCAAAAAAUUUUAUGACUGAUUCCUUGGUACCAUUAAUUUCUAGCCACAAACAUUCUUUGCUACUUACAAAUUGGGCAAAAUCAUGUACUAUGUCAUGCAUCUUACAACUCGUGAAAUCAUCAUCGUCCUCAUAUAUUUUAAACUCUUGAAAGAAAGAGUGUGUUGCUAAGAUGUUGAAAUACUCUUCUCCAAUCAUCUCCAUUUCUUCGUCUUCUUCUGCAUUAAGGUAACCUUGAGCCAUCCACAGAUCAAUCAACUCCUCUUUAUCCAUCACGUAGUCUUUUGGAAAGACAGCACAAUAUGAGAAACACCGUUUUACCAUAGAAUUGGAGGGCAAAUCGUUAUAACUCAACAACAAAGGAGCCAAAAGACCUUGCCCAAUCUCUUCUACUUUCCACAUUUCACUCUCUAAAAUUCUUUGCCACUCUUUUACUGUACUUUUAGAGCGCAAGAGAUUCCCUAUUACCUUUGCAGCAAGAGGCAGGCCUUUGCACUUACAUGCAAUUUUUCGCCCGAUUGGUUCUAAUUUUUCACAAUCCUCAAAAGAACGACCGAAAAAUGCUAACUGCUUGAACAAUGACCAGCAUUCCUCUUCAACCAAUUGCUUGAUGGAGAUAAUAUUUGUUGAUCCCAUCAUACGUGCAACUAACUCAUUACGUGUGGUAACCAAAAUUUUACUUCCGUGGAGACCAUUUUUUAGACAACGGAAGAAUGGUUGCCAUUUAUUGUAAUCCCCAUCCCAUACAUCAUCUAAGACAAGAAAAUUUUUUUUUCCUUUAAUUGAACUCUGGAUACGGCUCAUAAGAGAUUGGAAUUCGUUUAAACCAGAAGCUGACUUCCCUAGACCUUCAAUGAUUGCUUUGGCAAUCCUAAUCUGAUCAAAAGUGUCCGAUACACACACCCAUAUAACUUUUUCAAAAUUUCUUUUCACCUCAUCAUUAUUAUAGGCUAGUUGUGCAAGAGUGGUUUUACCUAUACCCCCUAACCCAACCAGUGAAAUGACCUGAAGGCCAUUUUGUUGUUCACUACUUUCACACAACAACUUGCUUAAGAGCUCACUUUUCUCAUCAACCCUACCGCAAACCUCUCCCUCAUCAAUCAAGGACGUGGUUCGCACUCUCUCUGGUUUCUUAACAUUGUUACUCACAUUCUCAACUAAUUUGAAACUAUCUUUUUGUCUGGCAAUAUCAUCUAGCUUUUCACUGAUUUCUCUAAUCUUGACAGCAAUAUCAUGACGAAGACUGAGUUGUUUGAAACCACCAAAGCAGUUUGAGGCAGCAGGAAAGAAGAAACAUACCUUCGUCAAAAAAGUAACAAAAGCACCGUCGUUAUCAUCAUAAUCAUCAUCGCCUCCCUCAUCAAGCUGCAAUUUCCGUGUUUCAGUGAUCCACUCUUCCAACACAUCUUCCAUGUCGUAGGAUGCGUCUCUGAGCUGAUCCAGCCAAAAAGUAACAGCUUUGUCCUGCUUCAUUUGCCUCUGCUCUGCAUCUUCCAGCACAGCUUGAAUGGCUUGAAGAUUGGUGGUAAGCUUUCCCACUUCUUGUUCGACACCCGUCACAAGCCUCCACUUUUCUUUCACCUGAUCUUGAGCAAUGGAUUUCAGCUGGUCCAGGAGAGGGGAAACGAUCGCAUGAGCCAUUCUGAUAUUAGAUCAAAUGGUAAAUGCUGCAAUUGCUUUUCUUUCUAAACUGCUCAGAGGAAAGUAGCUUUUAUGUAUUCUGUGAGAAUGCUCAUUCAACCAUGUUUGCAUUCUUCUUAUACUAAUAGGAGAUUUAAUUUUUACCCUCAAGUCAAUGUCAAUGUGAACGUUCUUUUGUGCUGCAAAUUGAAGGAGUCCCCACAGGAGUCACCGUCGUGGUUACUUGCUGCUCUUAAGAUAAUUAGUAACAAAAUAUUUGUAAACUGCAACAAAAAGCUCAGUGCAAUCUAUCUAUGAAUCUUGUGAGUUCACAUAUAAUACAGUCGAUUUAGAAUAGUCAUAAAUUUUUUUUAUUAUAAAUAUUAGUAUAUUUUUAAUGGUAUAAUAUAUAUCGAUGAAACUAUAUAGAGUAAUUUCGCCUAAUUGUAUAAAUUCAUUACGAAUAUCAUCACAAAUUUGUAUUUGGUCGGGACCGUGCGAGUGAAAUUUUUGAUAAAAUCGUCUCCUGACAAUUUAUUUAUUAUAUUCCAUUCCUUUUAUUAUCAGGUAGGCCAAAGCCAUUUGGACAUUUGAAAAAGUAUGUGAUUCUGUUUUAGUCUAUUAUGUCACGACAAAAAGAGAAUUGGAAAAUGUAACAUUCUCAAAUUAAUUUGUAGUGGAAAAGAGAAAAAUAAGACAAAAGUUGGAAAAAUCAUGCAGCCGACCCUUUUUUUUAUCUGAUUGCGCAAUAUUAGGUAGGCGAAUGCGACUUCAUCGAUAUCACACAGCAGUGGUUCUGUCAUUAAUUUUUUUCUUUUAUUUAAUUAAGAAAAGGAAGAAAAGAUAGCACAUGUUAUGAUUAUUGUGAAUUUUCCAUCCCUUAUAUAAAUUCUCAAAUUUAUUUAAAUUGUGAGUCAUAGAAGUAUAUUACCUAAACUAUUUUAUCAGGCCAUGUUCGGAUACUAGGAUUAAGUAUGGAAUUGGACUAAUUUUGUGAUUAUAUUUUAUAUCAAAUUUGGUAAGCUUAAUUGAAUUGGACUAAGGGACUAAAUUUAAGUUUAAUCCUAAAAUUAUGGGAUUAAUAAUCCUAAUUUACACAUUCCUUUAGUUGGGACUUGGGAUAAGAUUAAAGAAAAAAAGUUAUCCAUUUAUGAGACUUUAAUUUAUGUCAUUAUUUUUUAUUUAUACUUAAUAUUAAUUAAUUUAUUAAUUUAUUUUUAAUUUAUGAUUUACUUAAAAUUUAUUUUUAUUUAUUAUCUAUUAUCUGGUUAAAUUAGAACUUUACUUCUACUAACUCUUGCGAUUAAUUUUUCAUUACUUGCGUAUUUGAUAAUUUGCCAAUAAAAUUAACCAUUUAAUAAUUUCUUGCAUUAUUGAUUGUAUUAAAUUUAAUAAUCACUAAUAUAAUAUUAAAAAUAAUCAUGAAAAUUAAUAAUACCUUCAAUUAAUUGAUUUUAUAUACUUUUUUUAAAUAUUUGAUAAGAAGUUGAUAAAAAUUAAUUAAGGAUUUAAAAUUUUAUUCAUUUUUUAUUUAUUUAUUUUAUCAUGAAUACCCAGUAUCUUACAAUAUAAUUAAUUUUCUUAUUCAGACUACUCAGCAUCAGCUCCUGUAAAAUUUCUUACAUUAUAAGCAACAAAAUAUUUAUAAACUACAACAAAAGGCUUAGAUCAAUCCACCGAUGAACCUUUUGAAGUUAUAUAUAAUAUAUUAAUUGUUGAUCUAGAAUAGUCUUAGUGGAUAGAUUUUUUUAAUUAUAAAUAUUAAUAAAUUUUUUAUCGUUUAAUAGAUAUUGAUGAAAUUAUAUGGAGUAAUUUCGCCUAAUCAUAUUAAUUCAUUAUGAAUUUCAGCACAAAUUUGUAUGUGAUCGAUCUGGACCGUGUAAGUGAAAUUUAUUUACUAUAUUUUUCAACUUGGCCGACAACAUCUUUUUGUCAGGUAGGCAAAAGCAAAAGCCAUUAUCUCAUUAAUUGAUUUGGUCAUUUGAGAAUGUAACUCUAUUAUGCCGUGACAAACUCCAAGAUCUAAUUUAGAGAGCGACCCAAAUAAUGGUAAUUAGUAAUUUAUUACAUCUGCAGUUAGAUAGAUACUUUGUCUGGGAAAAAAAUAAAAUCAGUUUUAUAAUGAUUUUAAUUAAUUCAUUUGGUCAUUUGAAAAAGUUGUGGCUCUGUUUUAGUCCAGUGUCAAUAUAUAACUUUAUUAUGUCAUGACAAACUUUAAAAUUUAAUUUAGAGUGUGACUCGAAUAAUUUUAAUUAGUAAUUUAUUAUAUCUACAGUCGGAUACUUUGUUGAGAAAAAAAAAAAUAAAAUCUGUCCCAUAAUGAUUUUAAUAAAUAUCAUACUAUUGUCUACGGACUUACCUCAUAUUACAAAGAAUUAAAAUAUGCGAAAGAUAACUAAGGAAUAAAAUUUUUCCACAAUGAUUUAUAAAAUUGCUUUUGAAGAACGGUUAUGAUAUUAUAUUAAAUUACUAAGAAUUUAGUUAACCUCUCAAGAAGUCUAUUUGGUUGACUUCUCGAGUUUAAAAUUCGAAUGUCAAAAAAGAUAAAAGGUUAAAAAAAUAUUUUAAAUAUUAUCCACCCUUUUACUAUUUUAAUAUACAAAAAGAAGAAUUACUUGUUUUUAACAAUAGCAACCGGGGGCAUAAUAUAUCUGAUGGAUUUUUUUAAGGAACAAAACUUAUUAUAUCUCCUAUCAAAAAUGUCAUUUUUGUUAGUAAAAGGAUAUCUAUAUCUCCAAAUUUUGGAAAAAUGGUUACCAGCGCUUCCAAGUCCUAAAUUUUCAAAAAGAGACACUAAAACUCAUUUUUUACUACAAUACCCUUUACUUUUAUUAUCCCAAAAGUUAACUUUAAUUUUUUUUAUAAUAAAUAGAAAUAUAAUAUUAAAAUAAAUGUAUUAAAAUUUAAAUUAUUAUGAAAAAUAAUAAUUUUAAUAUUAUUAGUAUAUGAGACUUUUUUAAUUGUAAAAUGUAUUUAAUGCAAAUAUUUAUUUAAAAUCUCUAGAAUAAAUACAAAUAUAUUAUUAAAAUAAAUAUAAUAAUUUACAUAUUUAAAUUUAUUUUAAUAUUAUUAAUCUACUACAUAGAUUACAUUAUUUAUAUAAUAUUUGUGUUUACUAAAAAUUUGCAAGUUAAAUUUUUCGGGAUACUAAAGGUAAAGAGUAUUAUGGUCAAAAGAGAGUCUUGAUGUCAUUUUUAGAAAACUUGGGGUGUUGGUGACUAUUUCUCCAAACCAUGGGGAUAUAGAUAUCCUUUUCUCUUUUUUAUUUUAAACAAGUGGUGACUAAAGAUUAAACUGUCAUAUAUUCACAAGAUAUUCACCACAAAAUUUGUAGGAAAUUUCUUCUUCCCUAAGCGGAAAAUACAAAACAAAAACAUAAUUGGCAAUUUCACUAGCAAAACUAAUAAUACUUUUGUUCCAUAUCCAGGGGUAGAGCUCGGGGUAAAUCUUCAUGACGCCCAAAUUCAAAUUUCAAGUGUUAGCUGGGAAUUAAUUUUAGACAAUUUUAUUUAUUUAUUUAUAGCUAGUAUGUAAUUGUUAGGUAUUUCAAAAUUUGAGAAUUUUGUGAUUCUGUGAGAAUGUUGAUUCAAGCAUGUUUGCAUUCUUCUUAUAAGUACCAUAGGAGAUAUUUAGUUUUUACCCUCAAGUCAAUGUCAAUGUGAACGUUGUUUUGUGCUGCAAAUUAAAGGAGUCCCCACAGGAGUCACCGAUUUGCUUUGAGAAUUUUGAGAAUUAUGUUUUGCGAGUGAAAUUGCCAUUUUGUCAUAAUGGAAUUUUGCUUUCUGAUCAAUAAUUGAGAAUUUUGCUUGUAGCUACAGGCUGCAGCGAUUUUGAUUUGACGGCUUUGAUUCAUAAUUGAAGUUACUGUUGCAAGUAAAAACUAAAAAAAUUAACAAAAUAAAAAUCAAAGACUUAGGUCCAUGUUGCAAGUAAAAACUAAAAAAAUUAACAAAAUAAAAAUCAAAGACUUAGGUCCAUGUUUUAUCAAAAUUUUAAUAAAAGGCUAUUUGUCAUUUUGUCAUAAUGGAAAAAUGAUUAACAAAAUAAAAAAAUCGAAUUUACUUGAUUUUAUUUUACAAAAUAUAAAUUAAAUUUCUAUUAUAUGUAUAAAGUUUAUACAUCAAGUGCUUAGGGGUCAAAUCAAUCUUUUUAUACCUAAUUUUUAAUAUUUUACUUCGAAACCUCAAAAAUUUUUAAAGUUUGUUGGGUCACAAUCCCCGCUAGGAGUGGGCAAAUUUGUGUUCAUAUCAACUUGAAUAGGUUUUGGGUUGAUUAGGCUAGAACUGGAUCAGAUCAAAAAGUAUGAGAGAAAUUAAUUGAGCUUCUCCCAAGAAAAAUACAUACAGAUGAUUGAUAUAUAACCAUUAAAUAAUAAAUAUGUUAGACUUACAUUUAUUUUUUAGCCCUAAAAGUAUGAAAAAAUUAAUACUUUCCGAAUUUAUUUUUUGUACCGUAAAGAAUCAAAUUACUCACAAAAUUAUUUUUAACUUUCAUCAUGCAAACAAACAAAUCAUCAUCAAUUUCAAUAGAAAGAAGUAGAAUAUGAUGUAUUUAGGACUUCCUACUCUAUUAGCUAGGUUAAUAACAUGUUAAUUGUCACAUCAUUAAUUUUAGAUUAUAAAUUUUAUAUUCAAACUUUGUAUGACUGCUCCUUUUUCAAUGAUCUAAUGUUAGAGUGCAAUUUAUGCACUAGUUUUGCAUUGUUUACUUCCUUUAAUAUUGAUAUUUUACACUUAAUAAUAGUGAUUUACUUGUAUUUUAUUUUUGUAGGUGCAAUUCUAUUGAUUGGUGCUAAAAUUGAGAUACAAGAUGAUGUUUAAGGAUGGUUGUUCUCUUGGAUAAAUUAUGAGUGUCAGAAGAACUUUGUUGAUAAGGCGUGGGCGCGUGCUGUCAACUACGGACCUGCAGUUUUUAGUUUAAUGUGUUUUGUAUUUUUGGUUAUUUUUGUAAUUAUGAAUUUAAUGUUUCAGAUAUUAGUAUUUUAUUUUAAAUAGAACUCUAGAGGAGAAGAGAGGGAGAGUAUUUAAGGGAGGAAUCUAUUGUGAAAAAUGUGAGAGAUUGGAGAAAAAGAAAGAAACCCUAGAUCUAAACUUUUCUCUUCUCUCUAUGAAGAACUAAACCUAUUUUUCUAGUUGAAGGUUAAUGAAGCUUUGAUUCAUCACUACUGUGAGAUCUUUCUUAUGCUUUAAUUGUUUUAUUGCUUUUUGGGUAUUUGUUUAUUUUUUGAAUUAUUUUCAUGAUUAUGUUUGUUAAUUAGGUAAUUGGACACUAUUUAAUUAUCAACUUAAUCUAUUGUCAAUUCAAUGAUUCAUCGUAUGAAGAUUUUAAUGUUUGUGACAAAUAACAUAGCAGUGAGUUGUAUUAUGAGAAUAAACAAUCUAAUUUAAAUGAACCAUCGUAUGUGUUUGUUGAUUAGGAUUUGGGUCUCUCUGGUUUUUCAGGCUGUCAAUUGAUAUAAUCUUAUGAUUGUAUUUAGGGUUGUCUAUUGAUUAGGGAAAUAACCAACGGUCGUACCUUGGUUAUCGACUAGUUAAGGAGAGAUUGGCUAUUAGAGGGUCUCAGUAGCUAUAACCGGUGUAUUCAUAAGUAGUAAUAAUUUAUAUUUGAAUCAAUGAUUAGUAGUCGAAUCAAGCUCAGUUAAUUCCUUCAACCAAAGCUUUCUCCAAUUUGAAUUACAACUUUAAUUUGCAUUCUAGUUAUUUUAAUUUGAUUUCUAUUAUUGUCAACAACUCCCCCAUUUUACGUUUUACAUUUUAAAAGGAUUUAAAUAAUUACCGAUCUCUGUGAACACGACCCUGCUCAAUCAUUAUACAUAAUUUAUUUAGAGUAUGUAUUUAUUUUUGCUGUCUUCGACAAUCAUCAAAUUUUGGCGCCGUUGCCGGGGAUUGGUGUCGUUUAUUUAAUCCUUUUUACAUUUUACUUGGUGUAUGGUUCAUUCUUCUCGUACAGGUACACUUUCGUUUGAUCCUGAAAUUGAGAAGACAGCUCGCCAGCUGAGACAGCAGACGAAGCAAGCUAAGCAACGAUUCUCGUCGCCUUUGCUUUUUGAAACAGAUACAGUGUCUGAUUUGAUUGAAUCAUCUAGCGAUUCAGAAGAACAAGUGAUGGAUAGAGCUGCACCUGUAGAAAGAACUCUUAAAGAGUUAGCUGAACCAGACUUGAAUCAGCAACCACUCUGCAUUCAAUAUGUAGACUUGGAGGUAAAUUUUGAAUUAAAGUCUGGUCUUAUUAAUUUAUUACUCAAGUUUCAUGGUUUUGCAGGUGAAGAUCAUCAUAAACAUCUCAAGGAGUUUCAUGUUGUGUGCUCAAGUAUGAGGCCACAAGGCGUGACUGAAGAGCAGAUUAAGCUGUGUGCUUUUCCGUUCUCUGCAGAUGGGCUAGCUAAAGACUCGUUGUACUACUUGCCUCCUGGAUUGAGUACAACGUGGAAUGGUUUGAAGAAGCAGUUCCUUGAGAAGUACUUUCCUGCUUCAAGAGCUGCCAACAUCAGAAAAGAUAUUUGUGGGAUCAGACAACUUCCUGGGGAGAUUUUGUAUGAGUAUUGGGAGUGAUUCAAACAAUUGUGUGCCAGCUGUCCUCAGCAUCAGAUUUCUGAUCAACUUCUUAUUCAAUAUUUUUACGAAGGACUGUCAUUGAUGGAUAGGAGUAUGAUAGAUGCUGCUAGUGGAGGCGUGUUGGUGAACAAGACCCCUACUCAAGUAAGGGAGUUGAUCUCAAAUAUGGCUGCCAAUGCACAACAAUUUAGCAGCAGGCAAGAUCCCACUUCAAAGAAGGUGAAUGAGGUAAAUAUUUCUUCUGUUGAACAACGUUCAGAUAAACUUACUUCUCUUGUGGAAAAGUUUGUUUUAGGUAAUGUACAAUAGGUGAAGACUUGUGGCAUCUGUUACAAUAUGGGUCAUUCAACUGAUAUAUGUCCUACGCUUCAAGAAGAACCCGUUGAACAAGCCAAUGUAGUUGGAGGAUUUCCAGGCAAGCCUCAGAAGAGGUAUGAUCCUUAUGCACAAACAUACAAUUCAGGGUGGAAGGAUCAUCCCAACUUCAACUAUGGAGUUAGGCCGUCAGGAUUCCCACAACAGUAUCCACCAAGACAACCAGCACCUCCACAGUCAAACUCCAAGUCAGGUAUAUCUCUUGAAGAAAUUGUUAAAUCACUUGCAACUAACACUCAACAAUUUCAGCAGGCAACUACAGCAAGCAUUCAGAAUUUGGAGAACCAAAUGAGUCAAUUGGCCACUACAAUGAGCCGUCUGGAGUUUCAAGUAUUAGGGAGAUUGCCUUCACAAUCUGAGGUAAAUUUAAAGCAAAACGUUAGUACUGUCAUCCUUAGAAGUGGGAAGGAGUUACAAGAGCCUAGUAAGAAAGUGACAAAGCAUGUAGAAGAUGAGCUUGAGAAGAAUGAAUUGAUGCCUAAAUCUCAAGAUGCGCAACCCACCAAAGCGAAACCCCUACCUAUUGUGAUACCUCCUCAUUUUCUAAGCCGGUUUGUAAAAUCCAAGAAGGAGGAACAAGAGAAAGACAUCCUUGAGACAUUUCGCAAGGUUGAGGUAAAUAUUCCUUUAUUAGAUGCUAUAAAACAAAUACCUCGAUAUGCUAAAGUUCUUAAGGAACUGUGCACCUCCAAGAGAAAAUUAAGAGGAGAUGAAAAAGUUCACAUGGGGGAGAAUGUUUCAGCAGUUCUCCAAAAGAAAGUACCUCCUAAGUGCAUGGAUCCAGGUAUGUUUACUAUCCCUUGUAAAAUUGGUAGUGUUAGAGUUGAAAAUGCUAUGUUAGAUCUAGGAGCUUCUAUUAAUGUCAUGCCUCGUUCCAUUUAUUCAUCUUUGAAUGUUGGUCCAUUGAAAAAAACUGGCAUGAUAAUUCAACUAGCUGAUAGGUCUAAUGCAUAUCCUGAUGGGGUAUUAGAAGAUGUCUUAGUACAAGUUCAUGAGUUGGUUUUUCCUGUUGAUUUUUAUGUACUUGAUAUGGAAGAGGAUAACUCCUCUAAUUCUUUCCCAAUUUUGCUAGGAAGACCUUUUCUUAACACUACUAGGACUAAAAUGGAUGUACAUAAAGAGACUCUCACUAUGGAGUUUGAUGGAGAGGUUAUAGAAUUCAAUAUGAAUGAUGCCAUGAAAUAUCCUAAUGAGAAACAUUCGGCAUUUUUUGUGGAUGUUAUUAACCCUAUAAUGCAGGAAGUUUUUUACAAGGAAAAGACGAAGAAAUUUCAUGAUAGAAUGAUUUUGAGAAAGGAGCUCUCUGUUGGUCAAAAAGUUCUUUUUUAUUCUAAGCUUAAACUUUUUCCGGGUAAAUUACGUUCUUGCUGGGUUGGACCUUUUAUUAUUACUAAUGUUUUUCUUCAUAGUGCAGUUGAGAUUCGGAGUCCGACCUCUGACAAAGUUUUUAAGGUUAAUGGUCAUUGGUUAAAACCUUUUUAUAAAGGUUUUUCGGUGAAUAUUGUGGAGGAUAUGGCUCUCAAGAGUCCCAAUUAUGGAGAUUGAUGCAUAAAUGUGUCUAACCAAAGACAUAAAACAAAGGCGCUUUUUGGGAGGCAACCCAAAUGAUUUAUUUAUUUUGGUUUUUGUUAUAUCUUCUUUUCAUUUUGAUUCAGAUUUUUUAAAAAAAAUAAUGUGUUUGCUUAUUUUGGCCAGAAGAAAAUGUUUGAUAAGGCGUGCCCACGUCUUAACUAAUAAGUACUUCUGUGAUUUUUAACGUAAAAUGGUUUUAAGGCGUGCGCACGUGCUUAUUAAAAAAGUACUUCUGAAAUUUUUAGUGUCUCAAGUGAUACAUCACUAAAAAAAAAAUUAUUUUAUUUAUUUAUUUAUUUGAAAAUUAAAAAAAUAAAAAAAGUUUUUUUUCUUUUCUUUCUUUUAUAUUUUUAUUUAUUUGAAAAAAAUUUAAAAAAUGAAAAAAUAAAAAAAAAGUUUUUUCUUUUUUUCUUUUAUAUAUUUUAUUUAUUUAUUUAUUUGAAAAAAAAUUUAAAAAAUAAAAAAAUUUUACUGUUCACAAAAUCCCUAAUUCACAGAAUUAGUGUUCUUCUCCAGCCGCUCCAGCCUUCACCGAGCAGCCACGCAGCACCAGCUCCAUCCCCAGCGCGCAGCAUCAUCCCCAGCCCGCGCGCAAGCAACCAGCCCCAACCCGCGCAGCACAACCAUCUGCGAAUAACCUGAACCAACAGCCGUGUACCUGCAAGCUCCAGCCGAGCAGCAACCAUCCGCAGCCGGCCUACGCCCUGCAUUCUAGCCGCGUGAAUCAAAAUCCGUGAGUUCAAUUAUUGUAACAAUGCCGAAGAGGAAAGCAUCAACUUCCAAGUCAUCUAAAAAGACACUCGUCGCAAAGAAAUCCAAGAUUUCCGCUCCCACUACGGUUCCAUGGAACACAGUUUUAGAUUCACGCCAAGCCGUGAGAUAAAGAUCGAAACAUGGAAAAGGCAUGAGUGUUUUGCCACUUGCGGAAUCCAAUCUCAGAGGGUGCCUCACAUUCACGACUCAACAAGAGAAAGAAAUGUACAAAGAUAUUUCCAAGCGAAAAAUACUUCCAGCUAAGUAUAUUCAUUACCCGACUCUUGAAAAAUUGAAUGUCAAGAAUAGUUUUGAUUCUUUGAUAGAUAAGAUUGGUUUGCGUAAGUUUGUUGAUGUUGAUUGUUUGGGUUAUGUUGAGUUGAUUAGGGAGUUCUAUGCUACUUUUCAAUUUAAUAUACUGAAUGAUUUUACUUUGCAUACCUCAGAUGUUAUAAAGUUUAGGUUAAUGGGACGAAAUUUUUCACACUCUAUCACGGAUUUUAACCUAGUUUUAGGAUUCAUUGAUGAUGAUUAUUCUUCUAGUGAUGUAUAUUUAGGGACAACUUGUGACUUUAGCGAAAAUUUUGAGCCUUAUGGUCUUUGGCGUAAUUUAUCUGUUGAUCACAAUGCCUAUGACCCAAGUAAAUCAAAGAGUUCUUUCUUACGUGAUCCUGUUUUGAAAUGUAUGCAUCGGUUCUUAGCAUAUAAUUUUUUAGGAAAGAAAGAUCACUCAAGAGUUUUCUCUAAAACUGAGUUUUGUUUUAUCUGGUGCAUAUUAAAUGAUGUGAGGCCUAACUUAGGUUUUUGGUUAGCAGAUCAAUUUCAAAGUGUGCUUAAACGGUAUAGGACUUUAUUUCUUGGUUCAUACAUUACUCUGUUAGUUAUAAACUUAUGUGUGCUUGAUCAUGACAACAAUGAUUUAUAUCCUGCUUGCAAAAAGAAAUUUUUGGAUAUGUCUGUGUUUGAAAGAACAGGUGUGGUCGAAUUCAAGGAGGGGAAAUUUCAGUUUACUGAACCAGGACCCACCCAACUUCCAAAGAAGUUUUAUACUAGGAGUGGUGCUACCUCUGAUGACGAGUUUGACGACGAAACUGCGGCCCCACCAACUAUUCCUUUUACAUCCGCACAACCUUUGAGCAUUCAGUUAGAGAAAAUGGAGCACAAGCUGAACAAGAUGGAGCAGAAUUUGGCCUCAUACUUCGAGAGUGUGGGAUUUAUCCCACCAUUUCCACUAAGCCCAUAGACGUUAUGAGGAUCAAAGCUCACAAUUCAGGAAAGUUUUCGCCUUUAAUCUUUUAUCCUUACGCUUUAAUUUUUAUGUGAGCUUUGAUUAUCUUACAUUGGGGACAAUGUAAGUGUCUGUCAAUGACAAAUUUAACCCACUACCACCAUUCAUAAUUAACCAAAAUCAAAUAAAUUAAAAAAGAAAACACAAAACAAGGAUAACUACUAGUUGUUUUGAUCAUCCUUGCUUCUUUUUCUUAGCAUAGCUCUUGUAAUGAAAAUUAACAAAAAGGGCCAAAAGGGAAGCAUUAAACACAGUAUUGAAGCACCAACCCCAAAACCCAGGGAAACCAAAUCCCGUGAAAUGAUAAUUCAGCAUCAAAAUGAAAAAUGUUAUGGAUGGCUGUGAUGGGUCUGAGGAUGUGGGGUCCAAUGAGAGGUGAUGAUGAUGGUGAUGUUGAUGUUGAUGUGUGGUAGAGGAUGGAUGUGAGGGAGAGGUAAGUAAUGAUGGAGUGAAUGAGGAUGUGUGGGAAGAAAGCUAGGGUUUGGUCUUGAGUCCACGUGAAGUUGAAGACUUGUGGGUGGCUUACAAGCAAUAAUGGAGUGUUAAGCUGAUUGAAUUUGAAGCCAUGGCUGGUUUUGGGGGAAGAUUGAUUUGGGAGAGAUGAUGGUCAGAGGAAUGGGGGAGUUUAGAAAGUUUGGGAUAUUGUGACGGGUGUUUUAGGCAUAUUUUUUCGUCUUAGCUUAAAUUUUUGUUAAAAAAAUGAUAAAUUCUUUUCUCAUAUCAAUUUAAAACUCCGAGUAUGUUUCCAAUUCUUCUUCUAUAGUGUCUAGACCUUUGUUUCAACGGCAUCUUUGGACGCGGGUUUCUUCUUUUUUGGUUAUUUCUUCUCAAACUUGUGCAGAUUACAUGCACUCAACGUGGAACCCUUUUGAAUGGAAGUUACUGUUUUGCUGGAAUCGGGACCAAUUUUUUGACAAAAAUUUCGCUAUAAAAUAUACAAUUAAAGUCGAGUAAGAUUAAGUAAAGUAACAUCUUGUAUGGUAAAGUACAUCGAGUAAGGAUUUCUAUAAUCGAGCUAGAAAGUAUAAUUAAAAUUAGAUAAGAGUGCCGCGGAGCAUUGUUUUAAAGUUACAGUAUCAAAGUAUUUAAUAAAUAUUUAUUAUUGUGACUUAAAAAUUAAGUUGGGAGUACAAAAAAAUCAAUAAUACAUUUAUUAAUUUUGUCAAAAUUAUUAUUUAAAAAUCAUAUAUACAAUACAAGAUCAACAAUUAUAUUAUAGCUUCAGUUCCUUUUUCACAAUAACUAUAACUACAACACGGUAGUACUAAAUAGGAAGUCGAGUAUGAUCAAGUAAUUACAUGUUAUGGUUUUUUGGUAUUACAUGAUUCUUCAAACUGAAAUUUGCGAUCAAAAUUGUAUCAAAGAAAUCACAGAGACACUCUGUUUGACAAAUCUGCAGUAGAAUUUGCACAAUUUAACUGGAUUGCAGAGAGUGAAUAAGAUUCCAAAGCAACAGGCAAUUAUUGUUAUUAAGAAAACAAUUCAUCGCUAGAACAAAAUUAACUUUUCUAACAUACUAGAAUUUAACUGGAGAAAAAUUGGAAUAUACGACGUUGUAUCACAUAUAGUAUUUAGACAUCAAGAAAAGAAUCCCUCUAUUAGUGAACUAUACUUGCCAGGAAACACGGUGAAAUACCACUACCUCCCUACUAGAUUAAUGCAGCAAAAUUGGGCAAUUGACUUGAUUAACUCCAAGAAAUUUACGCAGUCACAUUCUUCCGGACUAUCCUCUUUCUUCGCACUUUAGGAGCUGUUGUUUCCCCUUACAGAGUCGACAUUCCCUUGUUUGAUGCCAAGGAGCCCAAGCCCAGAGCCAAUGGCAUUCUUUGGUAUCAACCACUUUGGGAACUUUUGAGUUGAGCCAUUGACAUCCUGAGACGGCCUGUUGUGAGCCUUCUUCAAAAGGUCAUCUGACUGAAGUAGCGGAUCCGCUUCCACUCCUAGCCAAGCAAGCCUUGAUCUUUCUCCUAAUUGGACAUUAAGAACCCUGCAUGGAAUCCAUUUGAGAAGUUGAACAAUAGACAAAGUCCAACACAUAUAGGCAGUAAAGAAGAAUUUGGACAGCAAUUACUGACUGUUUAUGCACAGGGCUGAACAAAUGGGAAUAUUAAGGCACUUAAAAGUUGGAACCAUAUUCACCACUUGUAUUUCCUCAGAGAACUAUCUCAGAGUUCUGUUAAUUUAAAACCAUUCUAACGUAUUUAACUACAAAACUAGAGAAAUCGUACUUCUGUAGCGGAGUCUCACUAUUGUUAAGGAUCUAGACUUGGAAAGUAUGCAAGUUGAUUAGGUAAAGAAAAAUUGAAAUAAUACUUGGUGAUAGAUCAACACACUUCAAUAGAAACCACACUAACAUCAUAUCAGACAAAUAAACAGAUUCCCCGAGUCAAAGUUUAACAAACAAAACAUUAAAACAAGGAUAAUUUGGUACGACCAGAAUAGUCUAUCAAUGUAUAUAGAGAGGGAGAGACCUCAAAGCAGCGCUUAAGAACAGUGCUACUCCAAUAACAUCAAUAUGGUUGAUGACCGCUCUAUCAAAUCCAUUGGAAAUCGUAUACUUAUAAUUUUUUUUUUCAAACUUUGUCUAAAAUAAAUGAAUGAGAUAAGAUAAAUUCGAAUAAAUUAAUCUGCAUAAUGACACAAGAAACAAAUGUAAAUUGACCACAAGUAGAAAUAUACUUUUGUUAUCUUCCAAUUUCUUUCCCUUGAGCUCUGUUUCUGCGAGUGCUCAAAAGCAAGACACGGGCCUUGUUAAGAGUAUAGCUGAAGCUGGUGACGUGUAUAAGCUGCUGAUGAAGCUGCUGAGCUGGCUGGCUAGUGAUGUGUAUAAAUUGAAGGUGCUGAGCUGGAUUGGGUUGUUGUUUACACCAACUAAAGCUGUAACAGAUUAUCCAGCUGGCUUGUUAUGAUUGGAAAUUAGAUUAGUUUGUUAAUACAGCAAACGAUUAGCUCUGUUUUAGUAGUUAGCCUUGAAUGUAACUAUAAAUACUGGCUAACACGUUUUCAGUGUUAAGCUUGAGUUUUAAUCAAUAAAAAUCAAUUCAGUUAAAGUUUCUUUGUUAAUUUUCUUUCACUUUCUCACUUGCCAAACAACCUAUUAAUUCUAAAAGGCCUCAAGAUAUAAUUAUCAUCAUCAAUCUUUUGCAGCCACAUGCAGUACUUGGAAAAUGUUUAUGGCCCUAAAUAACUGGAAAAUCAGAAAACAUUAAGAACAAGAGACUAAUCAUUUUAAUCGCAACAAAACAUGCACACUAUGAAAAUAUAAAAUUGAAUUACUUCGAAUGGAUGUGCCUCUUAACAGGAAUUGCACAAGCUAAUGAGCAAGUGAGCCUUGAACAGUUAUCACUCAACUCAAACUAAAAUGAAAUUACUGUGGACAUGUGAAUUAAAAAUAGAUGUAAAAGUAGUUUUCUCAAAGCAAAGUCAAGAUAAGAGAUUAACUCUGCUCCGUAAUUACAUUAAAAAUAACAAACAAUGAAAAACAGAGCUAGAGAAGAACUUACCUGUGCGUUGAGACCAUGUGGGGAAUGUGAGAUAUCUUCUUAGAUUUGGUUUGAGAAACCCUGCCAAUUAAAAUUUCGGUCCCCAUGUAGCAGAAUUUCUUAUUUUUCCUUUGUACACAAAUGCAGACACUUAAGCAAAUUAAGAUUUCUUAUCUAAAGCAAAUUAGGAUUUCUUUUGACCCUGCAAAUUACAAUUUCAGUCCCCAUGUAAUAGGAAAAUUUUGUACACAUAUUUAUAGCAAAUUAAUAUUUCAUACCUCACAAUAUUUAUCAGAACCAUCAAUCUUUAGAAACCACAUGCAGACUUGGUAAACUGUUUAUGGCCCAAAAUAACAGGAAAAUUAGAACAGAUUUUUAAGAAUGAGCGACUAAAUAUUUCAAUGGCAACUAAAAUUACACAUCUUGGAAAUCUGAAACUCAAGUACUCAGAACACUGUUAGUGCAUUGCAUAAGUCAAUUGCAUAAUCUUGGGUAAAAAUUACGCAGCAAUUAAACAAGCUGGGAACUUUAGUGCAAAUGCUUUUUCAUAAUCUUCAAUUGCAUAAGUCAGUUAGAAUCAAUCUUUCUUAAUCUUUCAAUUCACAUAUGAGAGCCUGAUAACACAAGGAAACACUGUAAGUGAAUUGUCAACUGUGACAAAUUUUGGGUAAAAAUUAUCAACUGUAGUUAUCUGCAUAACAUUUAGUGUCAACCCCAAAUUCCUUACUGAUCCGUGGAAGCAUUUCAGCCCACAGACGGUUAGCUUUGUCAAUAUACGGCAACUCAGGAUUCUAUAUUUAAACUAUGAUGUUUGAUGACUUGCUGAUACAAAAGACAUUGCCCCAAGCACUUUUUUACAUUAGCUAAAAUCAAGCCAAUCACUUCCAUUUGUUGCAGUUUUAAUGCAGAAAGAAAAAGGUGGGGAAAAAAUCUGCAAGAUGCCACUUGUAAUACCGCAUGUUCGCAGAAGCAGAGUUAAAUAAUUACAAAAUUACAUUCUUUAUGAAAGCUUGCGAUUAUUGGGAGAGCUCUACUCAAAUUUAAUGAGAUAUCUCUCAGAAGGGAGAGCUCUAAUAAUAUAUAAAGCCAAAAAUCUGACACUCAUCAAAUUGGCUUGUGAACAAUUAAUCUUCCUUGCCAUCAUAAAUGCCAGGUGUGGUGAACAAUCUUCAUUCUGACAUUUGCCUUAAUAAGCUGCUUAGUAUCCUUAACCUGAUAACUUACACAAACAAAAACAACUUCACUAAAGUUUAUUCUUUAAAGGCAAAACAGUAAACCAGAUGAUGUAUGCUGAUACAAAAAAUUGACCUGAGUUAUCCUGAUGUCAAGAAUCACAGAACCUCACGUGGGCAAAAUCAUCGCAAUACAAGAUGCUGAAUUCAAGCAACAUCUUAUCACCUGUAAUUUAAUUAAGACAAUAACUUUCCUCAACUAUUAGCCUUCUCAAUUUCAAUGUAUUAUUGGCAACUAAAUUCAUAGGGGACGCAGCUAAUUAAAUGCCCUUUUAACAAUAUCUUCCCCACCUAACAAUUAUUUGGAAAAUCUAAAUGACAAUCAUGCAUUGAUGGCAUAAAAUAUUGGCCACAAAGCUGCCUACAAAAAGGCUUUAAAUUCUUAAUGAGACAACGUAUUCGAACAAAUAUGGUGAAUGAAGAGACAAAGCAUAACACCUCAAGAAGUAAAGCUCUGUUUCUGUAUAUGCUCAAACCAAUGGAAACCCAUGGAAAUGGAUUUCUACGAAUUAGACAUGUCAGCCAAAACAGGUACUCUGUACAGGCAAAGUAAAAGAGAGUUACAAAAAAUUUUAAGAUAAUUAAACUUUUAAUAACCAUAUAAUUAAUAGAAAACUUUGUACACAAUGAUUUAUAUGAGAUUAAGAUUGUAUACCUAAGUUUUAAUUGCAAACUAAAUAUACACAACAUGAUAUUAGCAUUAGAAGACUGCACCAAAACGCACCGAAUUGAAUGUACCUCUUAACGGCCAUUGUACAUGCAUUGAAAGUUUACCGCAAAAGCUGUUUCAAACGUGAUGCAUCUUAGAGAUGCAAGAUGAGAAAUUGUUAUUACAACUAGCAUUGAAACAUGUGUGAAAACUGUUAAUGGACCUAAAUAACUUGAAAAUCAGAAAAGAUUAGGAAUGAGUGACUAAGCCUGCUAAUCGCAACUAAACGUGCAAACCUUGAAAAUCCAAAAUUGUACUCGAUGAAUGUGCAAUUGCUCAAGCAGGUAAAUUUCCUGCAAAGGCUCUUACAAACCCUCAAAGAUGAUACUCUACAUACCAUGGUAACCUGAGUAACAAAAAGAAACACAGUGAAUAUUAAAGGGCAUUCUGACAAUGCAAAUUUGUGUAAAUUAACAACUGCGGUUACCUGCAUAAUAGUGUCAAUACCGAAUUCCUUCCUCCAUGGAAGCAUGUGAUCAGCCCACAUGUGCUUUGCUCUGUAGCUUUUGAAUACCUGAAAUUGUUAUCACAACCAACGGUGAAAAAUGGGUGAAAAAAGGGUAAUAGUAGCAUAAUUGAAUUUGCUUAUAGAGGAUAAACCGAUCAAAGAAAAAAACAAGACAGAAAUGAUGAUCUUAGUACCUUAAUAUCAUGCAAUAAUAAUCAUCAUGCCUUCUAGGCAGCUAUCCAUCCUCAAUUGAAACAGAGCAGACCUGGCCAUCACUUUCUUCUUCAAAGUCCAGCAACUGAACGUUGCACACAACACCACAGUGGAAGUUCCAUCACCAGCCUAAUCCUUGAUUACCCCAAUGUUCUCCAUAGGGUCUUCAAAGUCAACCUAAAAAUAAAAUGAAAAUGCAAUGCAUUAUUAUUAGGGAUCUAGUGCUUGAGCUUGCUUUGACAUCAUGGUAUUAGCAAAUUCUGAUAUAGCCAAAAUGGUGAAUAAGAUGACGUACUUGAUAAGAAAAACCUGAUUUAACAAAUAAUUAAGGAGCCGGUAACAAUCACAGAAUCUCAUCAUGUGGGGAACGCCUUGGCAACAGAAGAUGGUGCUUUCAUUCAAGCAAUAGCAACUUUCCAAUUUCAUAAGGUAGUUUAAUGGCCCUUUUAAGAACAUCUGCACCAGCCUAAUAAUUAUUCAUGGAAAUUAAUAAUCAGAAUCAUGUUAGAUUGAGAGAUGAAACAUAAUAAGCGAUUUGGCCACCAUAUAUGCAUUUAUCACCUUCAAUUUGCUCAUCUUUGUCUAGAGUAUUGCUUCUGCAUUAACUUAAUUAGCUUGCAAGCCACCUGAACAUGGUUUUAAAUAAAGUGUAAGAGCUCGAAUUCGAACGAAUUAAUCAAAUAUGCUGACAGGAGAAACAAAAGUAAAUAACCACAAGAAGUAGAAAUAUACUUUUGUUAUAUUCAGAGCAUCUUCUUGCGUCAAGUUCUUUUCCUUUAGCUCUGUUUCUGUUUGUGCUCAAACGCAAUGGCUCAAGGGCCAAGAUAAUUUUAUGACCAUCAAUCUUUUUGCAGCCACAGCAGACUUGAAAAAAUGAUUGUGGCCCUAAGGAACUUGAAAAUUAGAAAAGAUUCAGAAUGAGUGACUAAAUAUUAUAAUUGAAACUAACUAAACAUUAUAAUCGAAACUAAUUAAACGCCUAGAAAAUCUGAAACUGAGCAAUUGCUUCUGGUGGAAACUUUACUGCAAGGACUUUCUCAAACCCUUGAAGAUCACACUCUACCUGAUAACAAAGAAACAGUCAAUAUACGAAGAUGAUUUUACUAACAAGUGAGUGCUUACACAUAUUGGAAGGAUAAUGAUGAUUCAUAACCCAAAUCCCCAAUACUCCCUAUUAUCUCACUCAAGUUCGAGCUCCCAGAAUUCACUACUGUGAAGCUCUCACAACAAAAUUCCCUUCAAAGAUUCUCUACUCAAAUUUGAUGAUGAUGUCCCUCCAAAGGAGGCAAAAAAUCUAACACUGAUCAAAUUGGUUUGUGAACAAUUAAUCUUCCUGGCCAUCAUGCAUACCAGGUGUGGUGAGCAAUCUUCAUUAUGACAUUUGCCUUAAUAAGCAGCUUAGUUUCCUUAACCUGAUAACUUACACAAACAAAAACAACUUGAUUAAAGUUUAAUAUUUAGAGGCAGAACAGUAAAGAAGAUGAUAUAUAUUGAUACUAAAAUUUGACCUGUGUUAUCCUGACGUCAAGAAUCACAGCAUCUCAUGUGGGCAGAAUCUUCGCAGUACAAUAUGCUUGCAAAAUUGAAGCAGCAUCUUAUCACCUGUAAUUUAAUUAAGACAAUAACUUUCCCCAACCAUUUCAAUGCAUUAUUGCCAACUAAAUUCAGAGGGUGCUAAUUAAAUAGCCUUUGAACAAUAUAUUCUUAUUCUUCUCCAAUCUAACAAUUAUUUCGAAAAUCUAAAUGACAAUCACGCAUCGAUGGCAUCAAAAUUUGGCUACAAAGCAGCCUGGAAAAGGCUUUACUCUCUGAAUGAGAGCAUGAAUUCGAAACAAAUAUGAUGAAUGAAGAAAAUAAGGCAUAAUACCACCAAAAGUAAAACUUUCUCCCAGGGCUCUAUGUUUCUGUUUGUGCUAAAACCAAUAGAAACCGAUGGAAAUGAAUUUCUAGGAAUUAGACAUAUCAGCGAAAACAGGUAUUCUGUACAAGCAAAGUAAAAUAGGGUUACCAAAAUUUUUAAGAUUGAUAUGAUACUUGAAAAAUAGGUUUGCACAGAAUUAAUUAUUCUGUCAUUGAGAUUGUUCUUUUAUAGAGAUUUACAGCACACAUAAAACUAUUAAAUCAGUAAACUAAAUCACUGAUUUAAGGAAAGAAUAAUUUCUAGGUAGAUUUUCCUAAAAUACAUAGAUUUGCACCUAAAUAGCUAUGUUACAGCUAAUGACUAAUUUACAGCACAUAUUUUUUCUAAUUUUCUAACACUCCCCCUCGAGCUGGUUUGAAGAUAUCCUCCAUAGCCAGCUUGCCAACUAGAAAAUUGAACUGUUUUGUGUGUAGUCCUUUGGUAAAGACAUCAGCCACUUGUUCUCCAGUAGGAAUGUGCUCCAUAUGAACCAAUCCAUUAUCUAUCUUCUCCUUGAUGAAAUGCUUGUCAAUCUCCACAUGUUUUGUGCGGUCAUGAAGGACUGGAUUGUGUGCUAUUGAGAUUGCUGCCUUGUUGUCACAGUACAACUACAUAGGAGAUGAUUUUGUCGCUUUUAACUCUUCCAACAGCCUCCUAAUCCACAUGAUCUCACAAAUGCCAUGGGUUACAGCUCUAAAUUCAGCCUCAGCACUGCUCCUAGCUACCACAUUCUGUUUCUUGCUUCUCCAAGUAACCAAAUUACCACCUACAAAUGAACAGUAUCCAGAAGUGGAUCUUCGGUCUACUUUGCAGGUAAAUUUACUGCAAAGGCUCUUACAAGCCCUCAAAGAUGAUAUUCUACAUACCAUGGUAACCUGACUAACAAAAAGAAACACAGUGAAUAUUAAAGGGCAUUCUGACAAUGCAAAUUUGUGCAAAUUAACAACUGCGGUUACCUGCAUAAUAGUGUCAAUACCGAGUUCCUUCCUCCAUGGAAGCAUAUGAUCAGCCCACAUGUGCUUUGCUCUGUAGCUUUUGAGUACCUGAAAUUGUUAUUACAACCAGCGGUGAAAAUUGGGUGAAAAAAUGGUAAUAUUAGCAUAAUUGAAUUUGCUUAUAGAGGAUAAACCGAUCAAAGAAAACGACAAGAUAGAAAUGAUUAUCUUAGUACCUUAAUAUCAUGCAAUAAAAAUCAUCAUGCCUUCCAGGCAGCUAUCCAUCCUCAAUUGAAACAGAGCAGACCUGGCCAUCACUUUCUUCUUCAAAGUCCAGCAACUGAACGUUGCACACAACACCACAGUGGAAGUAGUUCCAUCACCAGCCUAAUCCUUGAUUACCCCAAUGUUCUCCAUAGGGUCUUCAAAGUCAACCUAAAAAUAAAAUGAAAAUGCAAUGCAUUAUUAUUAGGGAUCUAGUGCUUGAGCUUGCUUUGACAUCAUGGUAUUAGCAAAUUCUGAUAUAGCCAAAAUGGUGAAUAAGAUGAUGUACUUGAUAAGAAAAACCUGAUUUAACAAAUAAUUAAGAAGCCGGUAACAAUCACAUAAUCUCAUCAUGUGGGGAAUGCCUUGGCAACAGAAGAUGGUGCUUUCAUUCAAGCAAUAGCAACUUUCCAAUUUCAUAAGGUAGUUUAAUGGCCCUUUUAAGAACAUCUGUACCAGCCUAACAAUUAUUCAUGGAAAUUAAAAUUCAGAAUCAUAUUAGAUUGAGAGAUGAAAUAUAAUAAGCGAUUUGGCCACCAUAUAUGCAUUUAUCACCUUCAAUUUGCUCAUCUUUGUCUGGAGUAUUGCUUCUGCAUUAACUUAAUUAGCUUGCAAGCCACCUACAAAUGGUUUUAAAUAAUGUGUGAGAGUGUGAAUUCGAACGAAUUAAUCAAAUAUGCUGACAGGAGAAACAAAAGUAAAUAACCACAAGAAGUAGAAAUAUACUUUUGUUAUAUUCAGAGCAUCUUCUUGCGUCAAGUUCUUUUCCUUUAGCUCUGUUUCUGUUUGUGCUCAAACAGAAUGGCUCAAGGGUCAAGAUAAUUUUAUGACCAUCAAUCUUUUUGCAGCCACAUGCAGACUUGAAAAACUGGUCGUGGCACUAAGGAACUUGAAAAUUAGAAAAGAUUCAGAAUGAGUGACUAAAUAUUAUAAUCGAAACUAAUUAAACAUACACGCCUAGAAAAUCUGAAACUGAACUUCUCAAAUGUAUAUGCCUCUUCGCAGCAAUUGCUUGUGGUGGAAACUUUACCGCAAGGACUUUCUCAAACCCUUGAAGAUCACACUCUACCUGAUAACAAAGAAACAUAGUCAAUAUACGAAGAUGAUUUUACUAACAAGUGAGUGCUUACACAUAUUGGAAGGAUAAUGAUUACUCAUAACCCAAAUCCCCAACACUCCCUAAUAUCUCACUCAAGUGAGUACGAGCUCCCAGAAUUCACUACUGUGAAACUCUUACAACAAAAUUCCCUUUAAAGAUUCUCUACUCAAAUUUGAUGAUGAUGUCCCUCGAAAGGAGGCAAAAAAUCUAACACUGAUCAAAUUGGCUUGUGAACAAUUAAUCUUCCUGGCGAUCAUGCAUACCAGGUGUGGUGAGCAAUCUUCAUUCUGACAUUUGCCUUAAUAAGCGGCUUAGUAUCCUUAACCUGAUAACUUACACAAACAAAAACAACUUGAUUAAAGUAUAAUAUUUAGAGGCAGAACAGUAAAGAAGAUGAUAUAUAUUGGUACUAAAAUUUGACCUGUGUUAUCCUGACGUCAAGAAUCACAGCAUCUCAUGUGGGCAGAAUAUUCGCAGUACAAGAUGCUUGCAAAAUUGAAGCAGCAUCUUAUCACCUGUAAUUUAAUUAAGACAAUAACUUUCCCCAACCAUUUCAAUGCAUUAUUGGCAACUAAAUUCAGAGGGUGCUAAUUAAAUAGCCUUUGAACAAUAUAUUCUAAUUCUUCUCCAAUCUAACAAUUAUUUGGAAAAUCUGAAUGACAAUCAUGCAUCGACGACAUCAAAAUUUGGCUACAAAGCAGCCUGGAAAAGGCUUUACUCUCUGAAUGAGAGCAUGAAUUCGAAACAAAUAUCAUGAAUGAAGAAACAAAGGCAUAAUACCACAAAAAGUAAAACUUUUCCCAGGGCUAUCUGUUUCUGUUUGAACUAAAACCAAUGGAAACCGAUGGAAAUGAAUUUCUAGGAAUUAGACAUAUCAGCCAAAACAGGUACUCUGUACAAGCAAAGUAAAAUAGGGUUACAAAAAAUUUUAAGAUUGAUAUGAUAAUUAAAAUUUCAGUCACCAUAUAAUUAAUAGAAAACUUUGGACACAAUGAUUUAUUGCAUAUUAAGAUUGCUAUAUAAAAUAUAAUAUUAGCAUUAGGAGACCGCACCGAAGCAUACCGAAUUGAAUGUGCCUUUUCACAGCCAUUUUACAAGCUUUGAAGCUUCACCACAAAUGCUUUUUCCAACCCGUGAACAUGGUGCACCCGAGAGAUGCAAGCUAUGAAAUUGUUACUACAGCAAGCGUUGGAACAUUUGUUAAAAAAGGAAGUUUAUGAAAAUACGCCUUUGGAUACCAGUCUUCAGGAAUCAAUUCAUCCGUAAUAACAAUUUUCAAGAAUUAUCAACUGCUUUAAGCUCAUCGACAUCACAAAGAUCUCAACUAAAAUAGAGCAGAUCCGGCCAUCACUAUCCCUUCUACUGCUCUUUUCCUUUAGAGAAUGAUUGAAUUACAGAAUGCGUGUAAGGCAUUCUUAUUCAAGGUCCAAUGAUCAAACCUUGCACUAUAACAACAGAGGUAGUAGUUUCUUCGCCAGCCUAAUCCUUGGUCUCAGGAAUGUCCUCAACAGAGUACUCGAAAUCAACCUAAAAAUUAAGAAUGAGUUGGAAAACUGUUUAUGGCCCUAAAGAACUUGAAAAUAAGAAAAGAUUAAGAAUGAGUGACUAAACAUUUAAUCGCAACUAAACAUACAAACCUUGAAAAUCUAACUUUGAAGUACUCUUGAAUGAAUGAGCAGUUGCACGAGCUGGUGACAACUAAGGUUACUGUGAAGUCUCUUACAAAUCCUUAAAGAUGAUACUUUACAUACCACGAUAACCUGAUAACACAUAGGAACACAAUAAACAUUAAAGUGUAUUCUGACAAUGCAAAUUUGUGGAAAUCAUCAGCUGUGGUUACCUGGACAAUAUUGCCAACACCAAACUCCUUCCUCAAUUGAAACAUAUGAUCAGCCCACAAAUGCUUUGCUUUGUAGCUUUUGAGAGCCUGAAAUUGUUAUCACAACCAACAAUGAAAAUUGGGUGAAAAAAUUGAUAAUAUUAGCUUAAUUCCAUAUGUUUAUAUAGGAUAAACCGAUCAAAGAAUGAAAAAAGAUAGAAACAGAGCAGACCCAGCCAUCACUUUCUUCUUCAAAGUCGCACCAUAACCACAGUGGUAGUCGUUCCACUGCCAGCCUAAUCCUUGGUCACCCCAAUGUUCUCCAUGAAGUAUUCAAAGUCAACCUAAAAAUAAAUAAAAAUGCAAUGCAGGUGGAAAUGAAAAUUCUAUAAAUUAAAUAAAAUAAAAAUGCAAUGCUUGAGCUUGAGCUUGCUUUAGCAUCAUCGUAAUAGUAAAUUUUGAUAUAUCUUUACUUCUCUGUUCUUGUUUAUUCACAACAAGAUAUCAAUAGAAGAAGAUGGAAAUGAAAUUCUAUAAAAUAAAGCAAGUGAAUUACCAACAGAACAUUUUAGCAAUCCUUUGGCUAAACUUUUCAUUUUCUUAGCAUACUCUCCUGCCUGGUGAACAUAAUUAAACAAGUAUGAAAUAAAACAAAGUGGGCUAAUGUAGUAAAAACAAUAACACAAUUACUUUAAAGAAUUAAUGUCACGUAUAUUAUAUAUAAAAAAAUACGAUUAUCAUUAUAUAAGAUAAAAUUGAUAAUUUAGUUUUCAACAUUACUGCAAACGUAUCACAGAGAUUUUGUUACACAUAACAAAUUUUCGUACAUAUGAAAAUAAAUUACAUUGCAUGAAAUUUUACAAAAGAGCACAUAUUUUUUAAAAGUAAAUAAAUAUAGAAAUUUCAACAGACUACACUUGUAUUUUUUUUUAAUUAUUUAAUCUUUAGAAAACAAGUUUAACAGAUUUGAUAACUAGGAAGUUUUACGUAUUUAUACCAUGAUUGAUUCUAUAUAGAAUUUUAAUUCAAAAUAUAAUUAUUUUUAUUAAUUUCAUUGCAAGCAACAACGAAGUAAAUUAGAGGAGGAGGAGAAAUUACCGGCGAGUGAUAAAUUACCGCGACCACUUGAUGUGGGGAAUGCGAGAUAUCUUAUGCCAGUCUUCUCCUUUCCCCUCUCUAUAACGGUUUUCCAGAAGAGGACAUCUGUCAAUAGUCAAUUCCUGCAGCGUCGUCGUCCGAAGAAGGUAAUCCGGCAGCACCUUUAAUUUGGGGCAAUACUCAAUUACCAAGGAAGAAAGACGUGGUAUGUCUGUUGUCCUGUGAUCUUCUAGAAUGGGCAGUUCUUCCAUAUUUGCACAAAAAGAAAUCCUCAGUUUCUGCAGUGCCGUCGUUCGAAGAAGGUAAUCCGGCAGCGCCUUCAAUUUGUUGCAAGAACGAACUUCCAAGGAAGAAAGACGGGGCAUGAUAGAGAUGUUUUCCUUCCUCGUAAUCCUGUAAUUCCACUCUUCCAAUUCUUCCAUGUCCCAAAUUAUGAGUGAUUUCAAUUUGGGGAAGGCAGUAACUGAUGAUGAUGAUGAAGAUGAAGACGGGCCAUCCUCACUGCUUUCUUCUAUUCCCAAAAACUCAUUACCCACUCUUUUUACACUUUUCAAGUACCAUAGUUCGAGUUUUUCCAGAGGCAAUUUUCCCAAAGGAGGCAAAUGCUCACACUUAAGGCACGAGCGAAGAUAUAAAUUCCUUAGAUUGGUCAGUGAAGUCAACCAUUUGGGAAAAAUGUUGCGUCCAUAUAAUAUAAUCCCUAAUUUCUCUACACUCAAAGGCGGUUGUAAGGCUUUAAGAAGUUGUUCAUCUUUCUCUUUCUUCCUCCUCCUUUCUUCAUCUUCCCCAUCUACGACUCUACCAAACUCAAGACGCAAACGAAGGAGGUUUUGCUGAUUGUAAAGUUGUAAUCUCUCGACCUCAUCUAAACGGGACACAUUACCCAGCCCUUCAAUUCCACAUUCUCGAAGGAGUUGAAGAUUUUUCAGAGAUUCAAGCCUACAAGUAUUGCUACCAUCAACACCUCCACCCACCACAAACUUGUCUAAUGUUCGAAGACUGGUUAAUUUGGAAAUCCCUACUGGCAUGUAUUUCAACGAAUAAGUUUCAGCAUUCAGUAAACUCCUCAUGUUCUUUAACUUCCCAAUCCCCGCUGGCAAUUCUUUAAGAUUUCGGCACCGCCUAAUAUCUAGCUUUUGUAAAUUAUAUAAUUCACACAAAGUCUUAGGUAGUCUCUCUAUGCCUAAUUCAGACAAAUUAAGAUAUCUUAAAUGUAUCAAUUUUCCGACAUUUUUUGGAAUUUCUCUAAUCAAACUUGAGUGAAGACGAACAGGCGAGGAUGAUAGCCUUAUAACUAAUGAUUCCCUUAUAACUAAUGCCCUCAAACAUGCCAAUUUACUAAAUAACUUUCGAGUUUCUCUAAUCUUAUAUGUGUUUGGACAAAAACAUAGGCGCAACAGCCUUAUAACUAAUGCCCUUAAACAUUCUUUGCUACUACUAAAAGACGAAAGGAUGCUACUAAGAGACAGAUUGAAAUCACUUCUAUCAUAAAUUAAAAGGGUACGCAAUCUAUCAAGUCCACGAAUGGAUAUAGGAAAUGAAGUGCCUCUUUGAAAAUUUAACCCUAAGUGACGGACUUUGUCACCAAAAGAGUUUAUGACUGAGUCUUUGGUACCAUUAAUUUCUACCCACAAACAUUCUUUUCUACUUACAAAUUGGGCAAAAUCAUGUAUUAUGUCAUGCAUCUUGCAGCUCAUAAUAUCAUCAUCAUCAUCUUUUUUAAACUCUUGAAAGAAAGAGCGUGCUGCUAAAAUGUUGAAAUACUCUUCCCCAAUCAUCUCCAUCUCUUCGUCUUCUUCUGUAUUAAGAUAACCUUGAGCCAUCCAUAGUGAAAUUAGUUCCUCUUUAUUCAUAUUGUAGUUUUUUGGAAAGACAGCACAAUAUGAGAAACAUUGUUUUACCAUAGAAUUGGAGGGCAAAUCGUUAUAACUCAACAACAAAGGAGCUAAAAGACCUUGCCCAAUUGCUUCUACUUUCCACAUUUCACUCUCUAAAAUUCUUUGCCACUCUUUUACUGUACUUUUAGAGCGCAAGAGAUUCCCUAUUACCUUUGCAGCAAGAGGCAGGCCUUUGCACUUAUGUGCAAUUUUGCGCCCGAUUGGUUCUAAUUUUUCACGAUCCUCAAAGGACCUACGUAGAAAUGCCAUCUGCUUAAACAGUAACCAACAUUCCCCUUCUCCCAACUCCUUGACAGGGAUAAUAUCUAUUGAUCCCAACUGUAGUGCAACUGACCUAUCACGUGUGGUAAUUAGAAUUUUACUUUCAUGGUGGCCAUUCUUUAGACAAGAAAAGAAUGGGUCCCAUUUUUUGUAAUCUACAUCCCACACAUCAUCUAAAACAAGAAAAAACUUUUUUCCUUCAAUUGAUGUAUGGAUAUGGCUCAUAAGAGAUUGGAAUUCGCUUAAAUCAUAAGCUUCUUUUGACUUGCCUAGACCUUCAAUGAUUGCUUUGGCAACCCUAAUCCUCUCAAAAGUGUCUGAUACACACACCCAUAUAACUUUUUCAAAAUUUCUUUUCACCUCAUCAUUAUUAUAGGCCAGUUGUGCAAGAGUGGUUUUACCUAUACCCCCUAACCCAACUAGUGAGAUGAUAUGAAGGCCUUCUUGUUGUUCACUACUUUGACACAACAACUUGCUUAAGAGCUCAUCUUUCUCAUUAACUCUACCGCAAACCUCUCCCUCAUCAAUCAAGGAGGUGGUUCGCACUCGCUCUGGUUUCUUGACAUUGUUACUCACAUUCUCAACAAAUUUAAACAUAUCUUUUCGAGUGGCAAUACCAUCUAGCUUUUCAUUGAUUUCCCUAAUCUUGACAGCAAUGUCAUGACGAAGACUGAGUUGUUUGAAACUGCCACAGCAGUUUGAUACAGCACAAAAGAAGGAACGUACCUUCUUCUUAUGAACGCCCUCAAUCUGCAAUUUGAGCCUUGCAGUGGUCCACUCCUCCAACACAUCUUCCAUGUCGUAAGAUGCGUCUUUGAGCUGAUCCAGCCAAAAAGUAACAUCUUUCUCGUGCUGCAUUUGCCUUUUCUCUGCAUCUUCCAGCACAAGUUGAAUGGCUUGUAGAUUGCUGGUGAGCUUUUUCACUUCUUCGUCGACACCAGUAACAAGCCUCACCUGUUGUUUCAGUUCAUCAGUUGCAACUGAGCUCAGCUGCUCCAGGAGAGAGGAAACGAUCGCAUCAACCAUUCUGACAAAGAAGAUGAGAAUUCUGAAGAGUUAUUAGAUGUGCUUUUGUUGCGAAGAUAUGAAAGAAAGGAGUUAUUGCAUUCUUUUAUACUGCAUAGAAAAGGUUUAUGCUUAUCCCCACCCCACACGUCAAUGAUUGUAGAAUGUUUAAUUUCCCUGAUUCUACUCCACUAGUUGUGAUGCGUAAUUAUAAAUAUUCUCAAGUUAUGUAUGAAAAUCCCACAAAUUUGGAUCUAGUAAUGAUUUUUAUGUAUUUUUUCAUAAUCUUCUAAAAUACUAUAUCUGCAUGUUAUUUCGUGCAGAAAUAUGGCAUUGGGUGAAAAAAGUUAUGCUUAUCCCCACCCACACGUUAGUAAUUGUAGUAGCAUCUGUAAUUUCCAUGAUUCUACUCCACGGACGAACACAUUUUUUGUACUAACAUCUUUAAAUUCCCACACGUUAGGAAUUUGGCACAUAAUCUCAAACUCGUCGCAUCUUUAACGUAUGAGGUUGAUGAAUAAAUUCUUUUCUCAUAUCAAUUUAAAACUCCGAGAUUAUGUGCCAAAUUCCUAACGUGUGGGAAUUUUACCUCCUAAGUAAUCCGGCCCACUGCCAAGUGCCAACUUUUUCUCUGUCGAGUUAAUGAUGUUGUUUUGUUUUCCUUGUUUUAAUUAAUGUUGCGGAGAGAAACAGAUCGAUGCAAAUGGCUAGCCAGGUUUUGCAGAAACCGUGAAUGGUCUUGCAUGCAUGUGACAUAAAGCUUUAUAUAUAGCUUAUUCCUCCAUCAACAUUUCAAUGGUUCCAUCUCACGUGCACUUGGCUAUGAAUAAGGUCCAUGCAUGGAUCGAUCGAUUUAGGAGUUUGGACCAUCUCAUGCUGCAGAGUUAUGUGUCAUGUAUGUGUGUUGACACUUGCCAGUUCAUUUUUGUUAUAAAGAUUAUUGAUACUCGUAAAUGUACUACUUACAAAUCAUAAAUUUUGAGUUUGACACUUUAGUUUCAUUUUGUAAUCCCUACGCUCUUUAAAUAUUUGUAAUAAUAUAUUUCAAACUUUAACUCAGACGUAAUGAAUGAAGGGGGAUCCUCUUCUUAUAUAAAUUUUUAUUUUUUAACGUUCAAGUUACAUUUGAUUACGUGUACUUAUUAUCUAGUUUUGACUAUCUAAUGACAUUUGAUUACGUGUACUUAUUAUAUGAUUUUUUUUUAAAUGAUGGGUCUGGUGAGAUUUUUUACAUCUUGGAUUAGUAGGUCAAGAACGGGCAGGGCAGGGCCUUCUCUGAAGUCAAUCUUGUGAGCAACACCAGCUUUUUGGAUAAUUGGCAGCCCCAAUUCAUAAUUUUCUCAGUUGAUGUCCAUGGCCAAAAUCUGCAACCGAAGCUUAUUCUACUCUUAUUAAUCGAGAGAUAAUUUUAUCUCUAACUAAUUUAAUUGGGAGGAAAAUUGAGAGAGAUAUCCACUCUGUCCUUAUUAAUUGAGAGAUAAUUUUACCCUUACCCAAUUUAAUUGGAAAGGAAAUCGAAUUCCAACAAUAACUAGGACUUGAAUCCAUGCACUUAAGCUAACUUUAAGUUUUAGGAUGCAUGGUUAUAAUGUUCUUUAUUUAAAUCCUAACAAAUGGUGGGACUUGAACUUGUGCCUACAAACAUUGAGUGCUUAGGGGCUGCAAAAUUUCAUAACUUAAUUUUAGUUGAUGUGGUAUGUGCCCUAUCACAUAAAUAUGUAGAUAAUAAUAAUUAAUACAUUAACAAAAUGAAAAAUAUUAGUUUACAAAAUACAAAUCCAAAUUUUUUGUGUGACAAGGGACUUAAAAGGGAGAGACUAAACAAAUGUGGUGAAAACGACAUGUAUUACUAAAACUAAAAAUACGAAGUCUAGGCAAUUGAAAACAUCGGGUUUUUUAUUUAAAUAUCCCCAAUUUGUCCUUAAAUACCAAAUUUAUACCCUAUUAUAUACAUAUACCUCACGAAGAUAGGGAAAAUAAAAAAUAACCUUAAAAAAAUCAAGAAUCCACACAUUUCUUCCUCUCAGUGCAGGAAGAUGUCGAGUACGAAGUCGGGUAAGUCGAGAAUUUAGUCGAGCAAGAAUUGGAGAUAAGUAAGUUGAGUAUAUGGUCCAGUAGGAAGUUGAGUAAGCAUAUUAAAUGAGUCCAGUAUUAAGUGGUAGAGUAUUAAGUAAAAGUCAAGUAAAUUUUUUAAACAAGUCAAAUAAAAUUUAUGUAAUUUUUAAAGAGGUUGAGUAUUAAGUCGGGUUAGUACAUUGGGUCGAGUGUUAAUAUUUUUAAAGAAGUGAAGUCUGGUAAGUUGAGCAUUCAGUCGAGUAAGAAGUUAAGGCAAUUGAAUAAGUCGAGUCUCUAGUCGAGUACGAAGUCGGGUAUAAAGUCUGGUAAGUUGAGCAUUCAGUCGAGUAAGAAGUGAAGGCAAUUGAAUAAGUCGAGUGUCUAGUCGAGUACGAAGUUGGGUAUGAAAUCUGGUAAGUUGAGCAUUCAGUCGAGUGAGAAGUGAAGGCAAUUGAAUAAGUCAAGUAUCUAGUCGAGUACGAAGUCGGGUAUGAAGUAUGGUAAGUUGAGCAUUCAGUUGAGUAAGAAGUGAAGGCAAUUGAAUAAGUCGAGUACGAAGUCGGGUAUGAAAUAUGGUAAGUUGAGCAUUCAGUCGAGUGAGAAGUUAAGGCAAUUGAAUAAGUCGAGUAUCUAGUUGAGUACGAAGUCGGGUAUGAAGUUUGGUAAGUUAAGCAUUUAAUCGAGUAAGAAGUGAAGGUAAUUGAAUAAGUCGAGUAUCUAGUUGAUUACGAAGUCGGAUCUGAAGUCUAGUAAGUUGAACAUUCAGUUGAGUAAGAAGUGAAAACAAUUGAAUAAGUCGAAUAUCUAGUCGAGUAAAAAAGUCGAGUAAGUAGAUUGAAUGAGUAGGGUAUUAAUUUUUUGUUGGCAUUUUAUUGAGGCUAUUUUUGUACUUUCUUUGGUUUUUUAAGUAUGUAUAUGCAAAGUACAGAUUUUAAUAGAUGGAUGUAUAUUUUGGGUAUUACGAGAGAAACGGGGUAUAUCCCACGCAAUUCCUUCGAAAACAUCUCUGUCAAUUGCAAUGAACAGAUCACAACCCUUCAUAAUUAAACAAAAUCAAACUUGAAAAAAAAAAUCACACACACACACACAAAACAAUCACAAAAACUAUUUGUUCUGAUCAUCCCUGCUUUUUUUUAGCGUAGCUCUUGGAAUGAAAAUUAACAAAAAGUGUCAAAAGAGAAGCAUUAAACACAGCAUUGAAGCACCAGCCCAAAAUCCCAGAGCAACCAAAUCCCGUAAAAUGAUAAUACAGCAUCAAAACCGAAACAACAAAACUAAACACAAACUGAACAAUCUAACAAUCAGUGACCAAUCUCUUCCACUUUGGCCGCAACCCCAUCACACACAAUAGAUAGUACCCGUACAUGAUCACAUGCACACUUGCAUUAGUCACAAGUGCAAUAGGAAACAAAGACUGCUUCGUCUGUAACCAAAGGUAGCACAUUACGACGACGGUUGCAUGGUGGUAGACGUGGAGGAACGUGAGCCAUUGGAUGGAUUUUGACAAAAUGAUCAAAAGGGUGUCUAAGAAUUCGAGUAUUUUGGAGAGGUAGAAGAGGUAAGCGUAGAAGAAGAGGGGCCAGACGGAGAAAUGGUGGGGGGGAAACAGAGGGUGUAAUGGAGGUGGGGCAAAUGGACGAUGAUGGAGAGAGUGCAGCCAACGGCCAUGAUGAGGGAGAGGAGGAGGAGGGUGAGGUUAUGGACGGCUGUGAUGGGCUUGAGGAUGUGGGGUCCAAUGAGAGGUGAUGAUGAUGGUGAUGUUGAUGUUGAUAUGUGGUAGAGGAUGAAUGUGAGGGAGAGGUAAGUGAGGAUGGAGAGAAUGAGGAAGUGUGGGGAAGAAGCUAGUGUUUGGUUCUGAGUCCAUGUGAAGCUGAGGAUUUGGGGGUGGUUUACAAGACAAUAUUGGAGUGUUGAGGUGAUUGAAUUUGAAGCCAUGGCUAGUUUUGGGGGAAGAAAGAUUUUGGAAGAGAUGAUGUUGAGAUGAACGGGGAGUUUAUAAAGUUUUGGGAUAAUGUGGAGGGUAUUUUGGACAUAUUGUUGUCUCAGCUUAAAUUUUGGGAAAAAGAUGAUCAAUAAGAAGCUCUUUUUUUCAUAUCAAUUUAAAACUCCGACGGUGUUUCCAAAAAUUGUUUUUCUUUUUCCGUUUUUAAUUUUAAAUCAUAAAUUUAGUAAAAGAAGUUGAAUCAAGUGAUCACUUUUUUUUUAAUGUAAAACAAUUAAUUUCUUUGUGAUUUAAGCAAAUAUUGAGUUGCAUACUUUAAAUAUAUUAAUAUUUGAUUCGAAAUUUCAUCUACCGAAACUACAAAAAUUAAUAUUUUCUAUUAAAUCAAAACCAAAAUUAAAGAUGACUCCUUGUCUGCCAACUGUCAUUAAACAAAGCCAUCACUCACGUGAAAAAAAAAAGUGAUAUAUUCAUUUUAACGUAAUUUCAUACCAACAUAUCAUUCUUUUUUUUCCAAUAAUGACCUCUUUAAUUAUAAAUAUGGUAAAAGGGGAUGGGUUCGAGGUAUGGCGUCCGGGCCUUUGUGACAACGGUAUCUUUGGACGUGGGUGUCGUUAGAUUUUUGGCUAUUUUCUGGUCAAUCAAACUGGUGGAUCACAUGCAUUUUAAUGACCUCUUUAAUUAUAAAAAUAUGGUAAAAGGGGAUGGGUUUAAGGAAUGGCGUCCAGGCCUUUGUGACAAAGUUGGAUGUGGGUGUCAUUUAGACUUUUGGCUAUUCUGCUCAAUCAAACUCGUGGAUUACAUGCACUCAACGCGGACAUUAUGGAAAUGGGAGAAAAUUAUGUUAGUAAUAGCAUCUUCAAAAGUUUCUAUACAUUUUACUCUUUAAAUAUUUAUUUACUUAUUUAUAUGAUAAAUAGAAAGGUAAAAAAAUAUAUUAUUCUCCAAAAAAACUCUUUCAAAUAAAAAUUAAGUUAAUAUUAUUUUAAUCAAAUAAUUAUUUUUUAAAGGAAAAGUUAACAGCAAUUAAAGCACUUCUCUUUCUCUCUCUAAUAAAAAGUAAUAAAAUAUUAAUUGAAGUGUUUUUUAGAACCUUAAAUGUUGAUGUGACUCUUCAAAUAAGUAAUAAAAUCUUAAUUGAAGAGCCUUUUGGUGAUGGUUUAAAACCCACUGUUUUCGUUCUAAACUAAGUGAAUUUAUCUCGUGAGCUAAGUAGUUUAGGAGAUAACUCAAAUAAUUAACUUUUAUUAGUUUAAUAAUAAGAAUUUUCGAUUAUAUUUUAAAAGGUAUAAUUCAUUACAAAAAAUUACUUAAUAAAAAUAACUUUAUUUAACAUAUUACAUUUUUUCAAUAAUAAAAUAAUUCAAAUUUUUAAUUAUUAUAACAAAAAAAAUUUGUAAUAUAAUCCAUUCAUAUACCACAUCACGUAAAAUUAACCUAGUACUACAUGUAAUCUUGUUACUACUAUUCCUAUAAUAUUCUACACAUCAUAUACUAUCAAAUUCCAUCCGGCAUGCCAAAUGUGCAAAGUUUGAGUAAGACUUGUUAAAGUUGAGAGUAACAUCUUAUAUGGCCAAGCGCAUUGAGUAUGGAUUUGCAUGAUCGAGUGAGUACAACUAAAGUCGGGUAGAGUCUGGAAAAUCCCUAUAAUGUUGAGGUUGGAGAACUAUACUUUUUAAGGUACAUAAUUAAACAAUUUUGGUAAAUAUUUACUAUUAUAACUUAAAAUUAAUUUGAUUUGAUCUCAUAUAUUAUUAUAAUAAAAAAACUUAUAAUAUCUUUAUUAAUUUUAUUAAAAAUUAUUAUUUAGAAGUCAUAUAUUUAUUACACAUUGUCAAAUUUUCAGCUUUUUGUUUUUUAACAACAGCUAGUAAUAUCAACAAGACCUAAGUUGAGUAUGAUCAAUUAAUUAAAAUUAUGAUUUUUUUUUGUAUAAAAUAAUCAUUAGAUAAUUAGUCUGUAAAGAAUAUCGGCUACUUCAAAUGGAAACUUGCGAUAAAAAAUGCAUCACAAAAGUAACAAUGACACACUAUAUAAGAAAUCUGAAAUAGAAUUUGCAAAAUUGAACUGAGUUACGGAGAGUAAAUAAGACUCAAAGGAAACAUGGGCAAUUAUUAUUAUCUAGGAAACAAUUCAUAGCUAAAACAAAAUUAACUAUACUUGCCAGGAAAUAUGGCGAAUUCCACCACCUCCUACAAGUUCUUAGGUGUCUUAGAGUUUGAUGACGACUUCCAUGCUGUCUCUUCGACAGGCAGCAAAAUUGGGCAAUUGACUACAUUAACUCCAAGAAAUUUAUGCAGUCACCUUCCUCCGGACUAUCCUCUUUCUUUGAGCUUUGGUUGCCCCUAUUUCCCCUUCAAUAGAGUCAUCACUGUUUUGUUUGAAGCCAAGGAGCCCAAGAUCAGAAAAAUGGCAUUCUUUGGUAUCAAUCCCUCGAUCCCAAAGUCACGUCACUAACUUUCUGUUGAUCGCGUAGCUAGUUCAUGUAUGCCACAGCAGCGGAAGGUAGCCUGAAGAGAAAAAACCUCUCUCUCUUUCUUGCUCAGUAACCACCUGGGCACUUUUGUGCUGAGCCAUGACAUCCUGAGAUGGCCUGUUGUGUAAGCCUUCUUCAAAAGGUCAUCUGUCGAUCUUUCUCCUAAUUAGACAUCCAAAACCCAGCAUGGAAUCCAUUUGAGAAGGUGGACAAUAGACAAACUCCAACGCAUACAGACAGUAAAGAAGAAUUUAGACGCAAUCACUGUGGCUGAAUAAAUGGGCCUAUUAAGCCUAUUAAAAGUUGGAACCAUAUUCACCACUCGCAGUUCCUUAGAGAACUUUAUCAGAAUUCUGAAAAUUUAAAACUAUUCUUACAUAUUUAACUGUAAAACAAGAGAAAUUGUACUUCCGUAGCAAAGUCUCACUAUUGGUAAGUAUCUGGACUUGGAAAGGAUGCUAGUUGAUUAAGUAAAGGAAAAUUGAAAUCAGACUUUGAGGUGAUAGAUCUAUAUACACUUUAAUCGGAACCACAUUAACAUCAUAUGAGCCAAACAAACAAAUUCCCCAGUCAAAGUUCAACAAACAAAACAUUAAAACAAGAGUAAUUUGGUGUAUCAAUGUAUAUAUAGAGAUGUCGAUCAUUGACAAAUACGUAAAAGAGGGAGGGAGAGACCUCAAAGCCGUGCUUAACAACAUUGCUACUCCAAUAACUUCAAAAUGGUUGGCGACGUCUCUAUCAAAGCCACACAAUAGCUGAUAUCUCAUGUUUGCAUGUAGUCCAAUGAAAGCACCAUAACCAAGAACAUUAGUACUCACAGAUGGGUUUGUCACAGAUAACCUGUCAGGCAAUAAAAAUUGCCCAAAUUAAACAAAUGUUAGACCGGCUUAGACAGUAAACGGAACAAUUUCUAAUUUUACUUAUUUUAUAACGAAUAAGUGAACAAAGGAAUGAAAAGGAAGUUUGGCAACAGUCUUUUUACCAGCCAGAUAGUUUGACAAAGAAUCUUGCACUGCUCCUGCAGCUAAUCCACCAUACACAACUCUGCAGUCUUGUUUGGGAGUCAAAAUUCUCAAAAUGGGUAACUCUGUUCAAAUAUACUGUUUGGGAACUUUUGUAAUGUAUUUUGCAAGUCAAACAGGAAGGUAUUUCCAUAAGAAGGUUCACUUCACAUGCUCAACAAUUCAAAUUUGCGGAUGAUAUUUCUCAAAAUGGAGGGCUCUAUUUGGCUUGCCAACAAUCUUCCUCACCAUUAUCAUCCUUGCUAUACCGGUUAAACUGAACAGUCUUCAUUCUGACAUUUGCCCUAUUAACCUGAGUACACAAGAAUCCGAAACAACUGUUAGAAAUUAUAAUCUUUAUAUAUAGCCAAAAUGUUGAAUAAGAUGAUGUACUUGAUAAUAAAAUACCUGAGUUAAUAAAUAAUUAAGGGCCGGUAACAAUGUCAGCAUCUUAUCAAGUGGGAAAGCCUACGCAACGAAGAUGCUGCCUGCUUUCAAGAAAUAAUAACUUUCCAAUUCCAUAAGGUAGGUUAAUGCCCUUUUAAAAAUAUCUCCACCAGCCUAACAAUUAUUCAUUGAAAUGUGUGAGUGUGAAUUCGAACGAAUUAAUCAAAUAUGAUGACACGAGAAAGAAAAUUAAAAUAACCACAAGAAGUAGAAAUAUACUUUUGUUAUAUUUAGUGCAUCUUCUGUGUGUGCUCAAACGCAAUGCCUCAAGGCGCAAGAUAAUUUUAUGACCAUCAAUCUUUUGCAGCCAUAUGCAGACUUGAAACAUUGGCGGUGGUUCUAAGGAACUUGAAAAUUAGAAAAGUUUCAAAAUGAGUGACUAAAUAUGAUAAUCGAAAUUAAUUAAAUAUACACGCCUUGUAAAUAUGAAACUAAAUUACUCAAAUGUAUGUGCCUCUUCGCGCAGCAAUUGCUCGUGGUGGAAACUUUACUGCAAAGACUUCCUCAAACCCUUGAAGAUCACACUCUUCCUGGCAACAAAGAAACAGAGUCGAUAUACGAAGAUGAUUUUACUAACAAGUGAGAGCUUGCAAAUAUUGGAAGGAUAACGAUUGCUCAUAACCCAAAUCCCCAAUACCCUCUAAUAUCUCACUCGAGUGAGUUCAAGCCCCCAAAAUUCACUACAGUGAAACUCUCGAAACAAAAUUCUCUUCAAAUAUUCUCAACUCAAAUUUGAUAAUGAUAUCUCUUGAAGGAAGGCAAAAAAUCUAACACUGAUCAAAUUGGCUUGUGAACAAUUAAUGUUCCUGGCCAUCAUUCAUACUAGGUGUGGCGAACAAUUAAGCUGCUUAGUAUCCUGAACCUGAUAACUUACACAAACACAAAACAACUUGCCUAAAGUUUAAUAUUUAGAGGCAGAACGGUAAAGAAGAAGAUAUAUAUUGAUACUAAAAUUUGACUUGCGUUACCCUGAUGUCAAGAAUAGCGGGAUCUCAUGUGGGCAAAAUCUUCGCAAUACGAGAUGCUUGCAAAAUUGAAGCAGCAUCUUAUCACCUGUAAUUUAAUUAAGAUAAUAACUUUCCCCGACUAUUUCAAUGCAUUAUUGGCAACUAAAUUCAGAGGGCGCUAAUUAAAUACCCUUUUAACAAUAUCUUCUUAUCUUCUUAAUCUAGCAGUUAUUUGGAAAAUCUAAAUGACACUUUUAUGUAUUCUGUGAGAUGCUCAUUCAACCAUGUUUGCAUUCUUCUUAUACUAAUAGGAGAUUUAAUUUUUACCCUCAAGUCAAUGUCAAUGUGAACGUUCUUUUGUGCUGCAAAUUGAAGGAGUCCCCACAGGAGUCACCGUCGUGGUUACUUGCUGCUCUUAAGAUAAUUAGUAACAAAAUAUUUGUAAACUGCAACAAAAAGCUCAGUGCAAUCUAUCUAUGAAUCUUGUGAGUUCACAUAUAAUACAGUCGAUUUAGAAUAGUCAUAAAUUUUUUUAUUAUAAAUAUUAGUAUAUUUUUAAUGGUAUAAUAUAUAUCGAUGAAACUAUAUAGAGUAAUUUCGCCUAAUUGUAUAAAUUCAUUACGAAUAUCAUCACAAAUUUGUAUUUGGUCGGGACCGUGCGAGUGAAAUUUUUGAUAAAAUCGUCUCCUGACAAUUUAUUUAUUAUAUUCCAUUCCUUUUAUUAUCAGGUAGGCCAAAGCCAUUUGGACAUUUGAAAAAAGUAUGUGAUUCUGUUUUAGUCUAUUAUGUCACGACAAAAAGAGAAUUGGAAAAUGUAACAUUCUCAAAUUAAUUUGUAGUGGAAAAGAGAAAAAUAAGACAAAAGUUGGAAAAAUCAUGCAGCCGACCCUUUUUUUUUAUCUGAUUGCGCAAUAUUAGGUAGGCGAAUGCGACUUCAUCGAUAUCACACAGCAGUGGUUCUGUCAUUAAUUUUUUCUUUUAUUUAAUUAAGAAAAGGAAGAAAAGAUAGCACAUGUUAUGAUUAUUGUGAAUUUUCCAUCCCUUAUAUAAAUUCUCAAAUUUAUUUAAAUUGUGAGUCAUAGAAGUAUAUUACCUAAACUAUUUUAUCAGGCCAUGUUCGGAUACUAGGAUUAAGUAUGGAAUUGGACUAAUUUUGUGAUUAUAUUUUAUAUCAAAUUUGGUAAGCUUAAUUGAAUUGGACUAAGGGACUAAAUUUAAGUUUAAUCCUAAAAUUAUGGGAUUAAUAAUCCUAAUUUACACAUUCCUUUAGUUGGGACUUGGGAUAAGAUUAAAGAAAAAAGUUAUCCAUUUAUGAGACUUUAAUUUAUGUCAUUAUUUUUUUAUUUAUACUUUAAUAUUAAUUAAUUUAUUAAUUUAUUUUUAAUUUAUGAUUUUACUUAAAAUUUAUUUUUAUUUAUUAUCUAUUAUCUGGUUAAAUUAGAACUUUACUUCUACUAACUCUUGCGAUUAAUUUUUCAUUACUUGCGUAUUUGAUAAUUUGCCAAUAAAAUUAACCAUUUAAUAAUUUCUUGCAUUAUUUGAUUGUAUUAAAUUUAAUAAUCACUAAUAUAAUAUUAAAAAUAAUCAUGAAAAUUAAUAAUACCUUCAAUUAAUUGAUUUUUAUAUACUUUUUUAAAUAUUUGAUAAGAAGUUGAUAAAAAUUAAUUAAGGAUUUAAAAUUUUAUUCAUUUUUUAUUUAUUUAUUUUAUCAUGAAUACCCAGUAUCUUACAAUAUAAUUAAUUUUCUUAUUCAGACUACUCAGCAUCAGCUCCUGUAAAAUUUCUUACAUUAUAAGCAACAAAAUAUUUAUAAACUACAACAAAAGGCUUAGAUCAAUCCACCGAUGAACCUUUUGAAGUUAUAUAUAAUAUAUUAAUUGUUGAUCUAGAAUAGUCUUAGUGGAUAGAUUUUUUUUAAUUAUAAAUAUUAAUAAAUUUUUUAUCGUUUAAUAGAUAUUGAUGAAAUUAUAUGGAGUAAUUUCGCCUAAUCAUAUUAAUUCAUUAUGAAUUUCAGCACAAAUUUGUAUGUGAUCGAUCUGGACCGUGUAAGUGAAAUUUAUUUACUAUAUUUUUCAACUUGGCCGACAACAUCUUUUUGUCAGGUAGGCAAAAGCAAAAGCCAUUAUCUCAUUAAUUGAUUUGGUCAUUUGAGAAUGUAACUCUAUUAUGCCGUGACAAACUCCAAGAUCUAAUUUAGAGAGCGACCCAAAUAAUGGUAAUUAGUAAUUUAUUACAUCUGCAGUUAGAUAGAUACUUUGUCUGGGAAAAAAAUAAAAUCAGUUUUAUAAUGAUUUUAAUUAAUUCAUUUGGUCAUUUGAAAAAGUUGUGGCUCUGUUUUAGUCCAGUGUCAAUAUAUAACUUUAUUAUGUCAUGACAAACUUCAAAAUUUAAUUUAGAGUGUGACUCGAAUAAUUUUAAUUAGUAAUUUAUUAUAUCUACAGUCGGAUACUUUGUUGAGAAAAAAAAAAAUAAAAUCUGUCCCAUAAUGAUUUUAAUAAAUAUCAUACUAUUGUCUACGGACUUACCUCAUAUUACAAAGAAUUAAAAUAUGCGAAAGAUAACUAAGGAAUAAAAUUUUUCCACAAUGAUUUAUAAAAAUUGCUUUUGAAGAACGGUUAUGAUAUUAUAUUAAAUUACUAAGAAUUUAGUUAACCUCUCAAGAAGUCUAUUUGGUUGACUUCUCGAGUUUAAAAUUCGAAUGUCAAAAAAGAUAAAAGGUUAAAAAAAAUAUUUUAAAUAUUAUCCACCCUUUUACUAUUUUAAUAUACAAAAAGAAGAAUUACUUGUUUUUAACAAUAGCAACCGGGGGCAUAAUAUAUCUGAUGGAUUUUUUUAAGGAACAAAACUUAUUAUAUCUCCUAUCAAAAAUGUCAUUUUUGUUAGUAAAAGGAUAUCUAUAUCUCCAAAUUUUGGAAAAAUGGUUACCAGCGCUUCCAAGUCCUAAAUUUUCAAAAAGAGACACUAAAACUCAUUUUUUACUACAAUACCCUUUACUUUUAUUAUCCCAAAAGUUAACUUUAAUUUUUUUUUAUAAUAAAUAGAAAUAUAAUAUUAAAAUAAAUGUAUUAAAAUUUAAAUUAUUAUGAAAAAUAAUAAUUUUAAUAUUAUUAGUAUAUGAGACUUUUUUAAUUGUAAAAUGUAUUUAAUGCAAAUAUUUAUUUAAAAUCUCUAGAAUAAAUACAAAUAUAUUAUUAAAAUAAAUAUAAUAAUUUACAUAUUUAAAUUUAUUUUAAUAUUAUUAAUCUACUACAUAGAUUACAUUAUUUAUAUAAUAUUUGUGUUUACUAAAAAUUUGCAAGUUAAAUUUUUUCGGGAUACUAAAGGUAAAGAGUAUUAUGGUCAAAAGAGAGUCUUGAUGUCAUUUUUAGAAAACUUGGGGUGUUGGUGACUAUUUCUCCAAACCAUGGGGAUAUAGAUAUCCUUUUCUCUUUUUUAUUUUAAACAAGUGGUGACUAAAGAUUAAACUGUCAUAUAUUCACAAGAUAUUCACCACAAAAUUUGUAGGAAAUUUCUUCUUCCCUAAGCGGAAAAUACAAAACAAAAACAUAAUUGGCAAUUUCACUAGCAAAACUAAUAAUACUUUUGUUCCAUAUCCAGGGGUAGAGCUCGGGGUAAAUCUUCAUGACGCCCAAAUUCAAAUUUCAAGUGUUAGCUGGGAAUUAAUUUUAGACAAUUUUAUUUAUUUAUUUAUAGCUAGUAUGUAAUUGUUAGGUAUUUCAAAAUUUGAGAAUUUUGUGAUUCUGUGAGAAUGUUGAUUCAAGCAUGUUUGCAUUCUUCUUAUAAGUACCAUAGGAGAUAUUUAGUUUUUUACCCUCAAGUCAAUGUCAAUGUGAACGUUGUUUUGUGCUGCAAAUUAAAGGAGUCCCCACAGGAGUCACCGAUUUGCUUUGAGAAUUUUGAGAAUUAUGUUUUGCGAGUGAAAUUGCCAUUUUGUCAUAAUGGAAUUUUGCUUUCUGAUCAAUAAUUGAGAAUUUUGCUUGUAGCUACAGGCUGCAGCGAUUUUGAUUUGACGGCUUUGAUUCAUAAUUGAAGUUACUGUUGCAAGUAAAAACUAAAAAAAUUAACAAAAUAAAAAUCAAAGACUUAGGUCCAUGUUGCAAGUAAAAACUAAAAAAAUUAACAAAAUAAAAAUCAAAGACUUAGGUCCAUGUUUUAUCAAAAUUUUAAUAAAAGGCUAUUUGUCAUUUUGUCAUAAUGGAAAAAUGAUUAACAAAAUAAAAAAAUCGAAUUUACUUGAUUUUAUUUUACAAAAUAUAAAUUAAAUUUCUAUUAUAUGUAUAAAGUUUAUACAUCAAGUGCUUAGGGGUCAAAUCAAUCUUUUUAUACCUAAUUUUUAAUAUUUUACUUCGAAACCUCAAAAAUUUUUAAAGUUUGUUGGGUCACAAUCCCCGCUAGGAGUGGGCAAAUUUGUGUUCAUAUCAACUUGAAUAGGUUUUGGGUUGAUUAGGCUAGAACUGGAUCAGAUCAAAAAGUAUGAGAGAAAUUAAUUGAGCUUCUCCCAAGAAAAAUACAUACAGAUGAUUGAUAUAUAACCAUUAAAUAAUAAAUAUGUUAGACUUACAUUUAUUUUUUAGCCCUAAAAGUAUGAAAAAAUUAAUACUUUCCGAAUUUAUUUUUUGUACCGUAAAGAAUCAAAUUACUCACAAAAUUAUUUUUAACUUUCAUCAUGCAAACAAACAAAUCAUCAUCAAUUUCAAUAGAAAGAAGUAGAAUAUGAUGUAUUUAGGACUUCCUACUCUAUUAGCUAGGUUAAUAACAUGUUAAUUGUCACAUCAUUAAUUUUAGAUUAUAAAUUUUAUAUUCAAACUUUGUAUGACUGCUCCUUUUUCAAUGAUCUAAUGUUAGAGUGCAAUUUAUGCACUAGUUUUGCAUUGUUUACUUCCUUUAAUAUUGAUAUUUUACACUUAAUAAUAGUGAUUUACUUGUAUUUUAUUUUUGUAGGUGCAAUUCUAUUGAUUGGUGCUAAAAUUGAGAUACAAGAUGAUGUUUAAGGAUGGUUGUUCUCUUGGAUAAAUUAUGAGUGUCAGAAGAACUUUGUUGAUAAGGCGUGGGCGCGUGCUGUCAACUACGGACCUGCAGUUUUUAGUUUAAUGUGUUUUGUAUUUUUGGUUAUUUUUGUAAUUAUGAAUUUAAUGUUUCAGAUAUUAGUAUUUUAUUUUAAAUAGAACUCUAGAGGAGAAGAGAGGGAGAGUAUUUAAGGGAGGAAUCUAUUGUGAAAAAUGUGAGAGAUUGGAGAAAAAGAAAGAAACCCUAGAUCUAAACUUUUCUCUUCUCUCUAUGAAGAACUAAACCUAUUUUUCUAGUUGAAGGUUAAUGAAGCUUUGAUUCAUCACUACUGUGAGAUCUUUCUUAUGCUUUAAUUGUUUUAUUGCUUUUUGGGUAUUUGUUUAUUUUUUGAAUUAUUUUCAUGAUUAUGUUUGUUAAUUAGGUAAUUGGACACUAUUUAAUUAUCAACUUAAUCUAUUGUCAAUUCAAUGAUUCAUCGUAUGAAGAUUUUAAUGUUUGUGACAAAUAACAUAGCAGUGAGUUGUAUUAUGAGAAUAAACAAUCUAAUUUAAAUGAACCAUCGUAUGUGUUUGUUGAUUAGGAUUUGGGUCUCUCUGGUUUUUCAGGCUGUCAAUUGAUAUAAUCUUAUGAUUGUAUUUAGGGUUGUCUAUUGAUUAGGGAAAUAACCAACGGUCGUACCUUGGUUAUCGACUAGUUAAGGAGAGAUUGGCUAUUAGAGGGUCUCAGUAGCUAUAACCGGUGUAUUCAUAAGUAGUAAUAAUUUAUAUUUGAAUCAAUGAUUAGUAGUCGAAUCAAGCUCAGUUAAUUCCUUCAACCAAAGCUUUCUCCAAUUUGAAUUACAACUUUAAUUUGCAUUCUAGUUAUUUUAAUUUGAUUUCUAUUAUUGUCAACAACUCCCCCAUUUUACGUUUUACAUUUUAAAAGGAUUUAAAUAAUUACCGAUCUCUGUGAACACGACCCUGCUCAAUCAUUAUACAUAAUUUAUUUAGAGUAUGUAUUUAUUUUUGCUGUCUUCGACAAUCAUCAAAUUUUGGCGCCGUUGCCGGGGAUUGGUGUCGUUUAUUUAAUCCUUUUUACAUUUUACUUGGUGUAUGGUUCAUUCUUCUCGUACAGGUACACUUUCGUUUGAUCCUGAAAUUGAGAAGACAGCUCGCCAGCUGAGACAGCAGACGAAGCAAGCUAAGCAACGAUUCUCGUCGCCUUUGCUUUUUGAAACAGAUACAGUGUCUGAUUUGAUUGAAUCAUCUAGCGAUUCAGAAGAACAAGUGAUGGAUAGAGCUGCACCUGUAGAAAGAACUCUUAAAGAGUUAGCUGAACCAGACUUGAAUCAGCAACCACUCUGCAUUCAAUAUGUAGACUUGGAGGUAAAUUUUGAAUUAAAGUCUGGUCUUAUUAAUUUAUUACCCAAGUUUCAUGGUUUUGCAGGUGAAGAUCAUCAUAAACAUCUCAAGGAGUUUCAUGUUGUGUGCUCAAGUAUGAGGCCACAAGGCGUGACUGAAGAGCAGAUUAAGCUGUGUGCUUUUCCGUUCUCUGCAGAUGGGCUAGCUAAAGACUCGUUGUACUACUUGCCUCCUGGAUUGAGUACAACGUGGAAUGGUUUGAAGAAGCAGUUCCUUGAGAAGUACUUUCCUGCUUCAAGAGCUGCCAACAUCAGAAAAGAUAUUUGUGGGAUCAGACAACUUCCUGGGGAGAUUUUGUAUGAGUAUUGGGAGUGAUUCAAACAAUUGUGUGCCAGCUGUCCUCAGCAUCAGAUUUCUGAUCAACUUCUUAUUCAAUAUUUUUACGAAGGACUGUCAUUGAUGGAUAGGAGUAUGAUAGAUGCUGCUAGUGGAGGCGUGUUGGUGAACAAGACCCCUACUCAAGUAAGGGAGUUGAUCUCAAAUAUGGCUGCCAAUGCACAACAAUUUAGCAGCAGGCAAGAUCCCACUUCAAAGAAGGUGAAUGAGGUAAAUAUUUCUUCUGUUGAACAACGUUCAGAUAAACUUACUUCUCUUGUGGAAAAGUUUGUUUUAGGUAAUGUACAAUAGGUGAAGACUUGUGGCAUCUGUUACAAUAUGGGUCAUUCAACUGAUAUAUGUCCUACGCUUCAAGAAGAACCCGUUGAACAAGCCAAUGUAGUUGGAGGAUUUCCAGGCAAGCCUCAGAAGAGGUAUGAUCCUUAUGCACAAACAUACAAUUCAGGGUGGAAGGAUCAUCCCAACUUCAACUAUGGAGUUAGGCCGUCAGGAUUCCCACAACAGUAUCCACCAAGACAACCAGCACCUCCACAGUCAAACUCCAAGUCAGGUAUAUCUCUUGAAGAAAUUGUUAAAUCACUUGCAACUAACACUCAACAAUUUCAGCAGGCAACUACAGCAAGCAUUCAGAAUUUGGAGAACCAAAUGAGUCAAUUGGCCACUACAAUGAGCCGUCUGGAGUUUCAAGUAUUAGGGAGAUUGCCUUCACAAUCUGAGGUAAAUUUAAAGCAAAACGUUAGUACUGUCAUCCUUAGAAGUGGGAAGGAGUUACAAGAGCCUAGUAAGAAAGUGACAAAGCAUGUAGAAGAUGAGCUUGAGAAGAAUGAAUUGAUGCCUAAAUCUCAAGAUGCGCAACCCACCAAAGCGAAACCCCUACCUAUUGUGAUACCUCCUCAUUUUCUAAGCCGGUUUGUAAAAUCCAAGAAGGAGGAACAAGAGAAAGACAUCCUUGAGACAUUUCGCAAGGUUGAGGUAAAUAUUCCUUUAUUAGAUGCUAUAAAACAAAUACCUCGAUAUGCUAAAGUUCUUAAGGAACUGUGCACCUCCAAGAGAAAAUUAAGAGGAGAUGAAAAAGUUCACAUGGGGGAGAAUGUUUCAGCAGUUCUCCAAAAGAAAGUACCUCCUAAGUGCAUGGAUCCAGGUAUGUUUACUAUCCCUUGUAAAAUUGGUAGUGUUAGAGUUGAAAAUGCUAUGUUAGAUCUAGGAGCUUCUAUUAAUGUCAUGCCUCGUUCCAUUUAUUCAUCUUUGAAUGUUGGUCCAUUGAAAAAAACUGGCAUGAUAAUUCAACUAGCUGAUAGGUCUAAUGCAUAUCCUGAUGGGGUAUUAGAAGAUGUCUUAGUACAAGUUCAUGAGUUGGUUUUUCCUGUUGAUUUUUAUGUACUUGAUAUGGAAGAGGAUAACUCCUCUAAUUCUUUCCCAAUUUUGCUAGGAAGACCUUUUCUUAACACUACUAGGACUAAAAUGGAUGUACAUAAAGAGACUCUCACUAUGGAGUUUGAUGGAGAGGUUAUAGAAUUCAAUAUGAAUGAUGCCAUGAAAUAUCCUAAUGAGAAACAUUCGGCAUUUUCUGUGGAUGUUAUUAACCCUAUAAUGCAGGAAGUUUUUUACAAGGAAAAGACGAAGAAAUUUCAUGAUAGAAUGAUUUUGAGAAAGGAGCUCUCUGUUGGUCAAAAAGUUCUUUUUUAUUCUAAGCUUAAACUUUUUCCGGGUAAAUUACGUUCUUGCUGGGUUGGACCUUUUAUUAUUACUAAUGUUUUUCUUCAUAGUGCAGUUGAGAUUCGGAGUCCGACCUCUGACAAAGUUUUUAAGGUUAAUGGUCAUCGGUUAAAACCUUUUUAUAAAGGUUUUUCGGUGAAUAUUGUGGAGGAUAUGGCUCUCAAGAGUCCCAAUUAUGGAGAUUGAUGCAUAAAUGUGUCUAACCAAAGACAUAAAACAAAGGCGCUUUUUGGGAGGCAACCCAAAUGAUUUAUUUAUUUUGGUUUUUGUUAUAUCUUCUUUUCAUUUUGAUUCAGAUUUUUUAAAAAAAAUAACGUGUUUGCUUAUUUUGGCCAGAAGAAAAUGUUUGAUAAGGCGUGCCCACAUCUUAACUAAUAAGUACUUCUGUGAUUUUUAACGUAAAAUGGUUUUAAGGCGUGCGCACGUGCUUAUUAAAAAAGUACUUCUGAAAUUUUUAGUGUCUCAAGUGAUACAUCACUAAAAAAAAAAUUAUUUUAUUUAUUUAUUUAUUUGAAAAUUAAAAAAAUAAAAAAAGUUUUUUUUUCUUUUCUUUCUUUUAUAUUUUUAUUUAUUUGAAAAAAAUUUAAAAAAUGAAAAAAUAAAAAAAAGUUUUUUCUUUUUUUCUUUUAUAUAUUUUAUUUAUUUAUUUAUUUGAAAAAAAAUUUAAAAAAUAAAAAAAUUUUACUGUUCACAAAAUCCCUAAUUCACAGAAUUAGUGUUCUUCUCCAGCCGCUCCAGCCUUCACCGAGCAGCCACGCAGCACCAGCUCCAUCCCCAGCGCGCAGCAUCAUCCCCAGCCAGCGCGCAAGCAACCAGCCCCAACCCGCGCAGCACAACCAUCUGCGAAUAACCUGAACCAACAGCCGUGUACCUGCAAGCUCCAGCCGAGCAGCAACCAUCCGCAGCCGGCCUACGCCCUGCAUUCUAGCCGCGUGAAUCAAAAUCCGUGAGUUCAAUUAUUGUAACAAUGCCGAAGAGGAAAGCAUCAACUUCCAAGUCAUCUAAAAAGACACUCGUCGCAAAGAAAUCCAAGAUUUCCGCUCCCACUACGGUUCCAUGGAACACAGUUUUAGAUUCACGCCAAGCCGUGAGAUAAAGAUCGAAACAUGGAAAAGGCAUGAGUGUUUUGCCACUUGCGGAAUCCAAUCUCAGAGGGUGCCUCACAUUCACGACUCAACAAGAGAAAGAAAUGUACAAAGAUAUUUCCAAGCGAAAAAUACUUCCAGCUAAGUAUAUUCAUUACCCGACUCUUGAAAAAUUGAAUGUCAAGAAUAGUUUUGAUUCUUUGAUAGAUAAGAUUGGUUUGCGUAAGUUUGUUGAUGUUGAUUGUUUGGGUUAUGUUGAGUUGAUUAGGGAGUUCUAUGCUACUUUUCAAUUUAAUAUACUGAAUGAUUUUACUUUGCAUACCUCAGAUGUUAUAAAGUUUAGGUUAAUGGGACGAAAUUUUUCACACUCUAUCACGGAUUUUAACCUAGUUUUAGGAUUCAUUGAUGAUGAUUAUUCUUCUAGUGAUGUAUAUUUAGGGACAACUUGUGACUUUAGCGAAAAUUUUGAGCCUUAUGGUCUUUGGCGUAAUUUAUCUGUUGAUCACAAUGCCUAUGACCCAAGUAAAUCAAAGAGUUCUUUCUUACGUGAUCCUGUUUUGAAAUGUAUGCAUCGGUUCUUAGCAUAUAAUUUUUUAGGAAAGAAAGAUCACUCAAGAGUUUUCUCUAAAACUGAGUUUUGUUUUAUCUGGUGCAUAUUAAAUGAUGUGAGGCCUAACUUAGGUUUUUGGUUAGCAGAUCAAUUUCAAAGUGUGCUUAAACGGUAUAGGACUUUAUUUCUUGGUUCAUACAUUACUCUGUUAGUUAUAAACUUAUGUGUGCUUGAUCAUGACAACAAUGAUUUAUAUCCUGCUUGCAAAAAGAAAUUUUUGGAUAUGUCUGUGUUUGAAAGAACAGGUGUGGUCGAAUUCAAGGAGGGGAAAUUUCAGUUUACUGAACCAGGACCCACCCAACUUCCAAAGAAGUUUUAUACUAGGAGUGGUGCUACCUCUGAUGACGAGUUUGACGACGAAACUGCGGCCCCACCAACUAUUCCUUUUACAUCCGCACAACCUUUGAGCAUUCAGUUAGAGAAAAUGGAGCACAAGCUGAACAAGAUGGAGCAGAAUUUGGCCUCAUACUUCGAGAGUGUGGGAUUUAUCCCACCAUUUCCACUAAGCCCAUAGACGUUAUGAGGAUCAAAGCUCACAAUUCAGGAAAGUUUUCGCCUUUAAUCUUUUAUCCUUACGCUUUAAUUUUUAUGUGAGCUUUGAUUAUCUUACAUUGGGGACAAUGUAAGUGUCUGUCAAUGACAAAUUUAACCCACUACCACCAUUCAUAAUUAACCAAAAUCAAAUAAAUUAAAAAAGAAAACACAAAACAAGGAUAACUACUAGUUGUUUUGAUCAUCCUUGCUUCUUUUUCUUAGCAUAGCUCUUGUAAUGAAAAUUAACAAAAAGGGCCAAAAGGGAAGCAUUAAACACAGUAUUGAAGCACCAACCCCAAAACCCAGGGAAACCAAAUCCCGUGAAAUGAUAAUUCAGCAUCAAAAUGAAAAAUGUUAUGGAUGGCUGUGAUGGGUCUGAGGAUGUGGGGUCCAAUGAGAGGUGAUGAUGAUGGUGAUGUUGAUGUUGAUGUGUGGUAGAGGAUGGAUGUGAGGGAGAGGUAAGUAAUGAUGGAGUGAAUGAGGAUGUGUGGGAAGAAAGCUAGGGUUUGGUCUUGAGUCCACGUGAAGUUGAAGACUUGUGGGUGGCUUACAAGCAAUAAUGGAGUGUUAAGCUGAUUGAAUUUGAAGCCAUGGCUGGUUUUGGGGGAAGAUUGAUUUGGGAGAGAUGAUGGUCAGAGGAAUGGGGGAGUUUAGAAAGUUUGGGAUAUUGUGACGGGUGUUUUAGGCAUAUUUUUUCGUCUUAGCUUAAAUUUUUGUUAAAAAAAUGAUAAAUUCUUUUCUCAUAUCAAUUUAAAACUCCGAGUAUGUUUCCAAUUCUUCUUCUAUAGUGUCUAGACCUUUGUUUCAACGGCAUCUUUGGACGCGGGUUUCUUCUUUUUUGGUUAUUUCUUCUCAAACUUGUGCAGAUUACAUGCACUCAACGUGGAACCCUUUUGAAUGGAAGUUACUGUUUUGCUGGAAUCGGGACCAAUUUUUUGACAAAAAUUUCGCUAUAAAAUAUACAAUUAAAGUCGAGUAAGAUUAAGUAAAGUAACAUCUUGUAUGGUAAAGUACAUCGAGUAAGGAUUUCUAUAAUCGAGCUAGAAAGUAUAAUUAAAAUUAGAUAAGAGUGCCGCGGAGCAUUGUUUUAAAGUUACAGUAUCAAAGUAUUUAAUAAAUAUUUAUUAUUGUGACUUAAAAAUUAAGUUGGGAGUACAAAAAAAUCAAUAAUACAUUUAUUAAUUUUGUCAAAAUUAUUAUUUAAAAAUCAUAUAUACAAUACAAGAUCAACAAUUAUAUUAUAGCUUCAGUUCCUUUUUCACAAUAACUAUAACUACAACACGGUAGUACUAAAUAGGAAGUCGAGUAUGAUCAAGUAAUUACAUGUUAUGGUUUUUUGGUAUUACAUGAUUCUUCAAACUGAAAUUUGCGAUCAAAAUUGUAUCAAAGAAAUCACAGAGACACUCUGUUUGACAAAUCUGCAGUAGAAUUUGCACAAUUUAACUGGAUUGCAGAGAGUGAAUAAGAUUCCAAAGCAACAGGCAAUUAUUGUUAUUAAGAAAACAAUUCAUCGCUAGAACAAAAUUAACUUUUCUAACAUACUAGAAUUUAACUGGAGAAAAAUUGGAAUAUACGACGUUGUAUCACAUAUAGUAUUUAGACAUCAAGAAAAGAAUCCCUCUAUUAGUGAACUAUACUUGCCAGGAAACACGGUGAAAUACCACUACCUCCCUACUAGAUUAAUGCAGCAAAAUUGGGCAAUUGACUUGAUUAACUCCAAGAAAUUUACGCAGUCACAUUCUUCCGGACUAUCCUCUUUCUUCGCACUUUAGGAGCUGUUGUUUCCCCUUACAGAGUCGACAUUCCCUUGUUUGAUGCCAAGGAGCCCAAGCCCAGAGCCAAUGGCAUUCUUUGGUAUCAACCACUUUGGGAACUUUUGAGUUGAGCCAUUGACAUCCUGAGACGGCCUGUUGUGAGCCUUCUUCAAAAGGUCAUCUGACUGAAGUAGCGGAUCCGCUUCCACUCCUAGCCAAGCAAGCCUUGAUCUUUCUCCUAAUUGGACAUUAAGAACCCUGCAUGGAAUCCAUUUGAGAAGUUGAACAAUAGACAAAGUCCAACACAUAUAGGCAGUAAAGAAGAAUUUGGACAGCAAUUACUGACUGUUUAUGCACAGGGCUGAACAAAUGGGAAUAUUAAGGCACUUAAAAGUUGGAACCAUAUUCACCACUUGUAUUUCCUCAGAGAACUAUCUCAGAGUUCUGUUAAUUUAAAACCAUUCUAACGUAUUUAACUACAAAACUAGAGAAAUCGUACUUCUGUAGCGGAGUCUCACUAUUGUUAAGGAUCUAGACUUGGAAAGUAUGCAAGUUGAUUAGGUAAAGAAAAAUUGAAAUAAUACUUGGUGAUAGAUCAACACACUUCAAUAGAAACCACACUAACAUCAUAUCAGACAAAUAAACAGAUUCCCCGAGUCAAAGUUUAACAAACAAAACAUUAAAACAAGGAUAAUUUGGUACGACCAGAAUAGUCUAUCAAUGUAUAUAGAGAGGGAGAGACCUCAAAGCAGCGCUUAAGAACAGUGCUACUCCAAUAACAUCAAUAUGGUUGAUGACCGCUCUAUCAAAUCCAUUGGAAAUCGUAUACUUAUAAUUUUUUUUUUCAAACUUUGUCUAAAAUAAAUGAAUGAGAUAAGAUAAAUUCGAAUAAAUUAAUCUGCAUAAUGACACAAGAAACAAAUGUAAAUUGACCACAAGUAGAAAUAUACUUUUGUUAUCUUCCAAUUUCUUUCCCUUGAGCUCUGUUUCUGCGAGUGCUCAAAAGCAAGACACGGGCCUUGUUAAGAGUAUAGCUGAAGCUGGUGACGUGUAUAAGCUGCUGAUGAAGCUGCUGAGCUGGCUGGCUAGUGAUGUGUAUAAAUUGAAGGUGCUGAGCUGGAUUGGGUUGUUGUUUACACCAACUAAAGCUGUAACAGAUUAUCCAGCUGGCUUGUUAUGAUUGGAAAUUAGAUUAGUUUGUUAAUACAGCAAACGAUUAGCUCUGUUUUAGUAGUUAGCCUUGAAUGUAACUAUAAAUACUGGCUAACACGUUUUCAGUGUUAAGCUUGAGUUUUAAUCAAUAAAAAUCAAUUCAGUUAAAGUUUCUUUGUUAAUUUUCUUUCACUUUCUCACUUGCCAAACAACCUAUUAAUUCUAAAAGGCCUCAAGAUAUAAUUAUCAUCAUCAAUCUUUUGCAGCCACAUGCAGUACUUGGAAAAUGUUUAUGGCCCUAAAUAACUGGAAAAUCAGAAAACAUUAAGAACAAGAGACUAAUCAUUUUAAUCGCAACAAAACAUGCACACUAUGAAAAUAUAAAAUUGAAUUACUUCGAAUGGAUGUGCCUCUUAACAGGAAUUGCACAAGCUAAUGAGCAAGUGAGCCUUGAACAGUUAUCACUCAACUCAAACUAAAAUGAAAUUACUGUGGACAUGUGAAUUAAAAAUAGAUGUAAAAGUAGUUUUCUCAAAGCAAAGUCAAGAUAAGAGAUUAACUCUGCUCCGUAAUUACAUUAAAAAUAACAAACAAUGAAAAACAGAGCUAGAGAAGAACUUACCUGUGCGUUGAGACCAUGUGGGGAAUGUGAGAUAUCUUCUUAGAUUUGGUUUGAGAAACCCUGCCAAUUAAAAUUUCGGUCCCCAUGUAGCAGAAUUUCUUAUUUUUCCUUUGUACACAAAUGCAGACACUUAAGCAAAUUAAGAUUUCUUAUCUAAAGCAAAUUAGGAUUUCUUUUGACCCUGCAAAUUACAAUUUCAGUCCCCAUGUAAUAGGAAAAUUUUGUACACAUAUUUAUAGCAAAUUAAUAUUUCAUACCUCACAAUAUUUAUCAGAACCAUCAAUCUUUAGAAACCACAUGCAGACUUGGUAAACUGUUUAUGGCCCAAAAUAACAGGAAAAUUAGAACAGAUUUUUAAGAAUGAGCGACUAAAUAUUUCAAUGGCAACUAAAAUUACACAUCUUGGAAAUCUGAAACUCAAGUACUCAGAACACUGUUAGUGCAUUGCAUAAGUCAAUUGCAUAAUCUUGGGUAAAAAUUACGCAGCAAUUAAACAAGCUGGGAACUUUAGUGCAAAUGCUUUUUCAUAAUCUUCAAUUGCAUAAGUCAGUUAGAAUCAAUCUUUCUUAAUCUUUCAAUUCACAUAUGAGAGCCUGAUAACACAAGGAAACACUGUAAGUGAAUUGUCAACUGUGACAAAUUUUGGGUAAAAAUUAUCAACUGUAGUUAUCUGCAUAACAUUUAGUGUCAACCCCAAAUUCCUUACUGAUCCGUGGAAGCAUUUCAGCCCACAGACGGUUAGCUUUGUCAAUAUACGGCAACUCAGGAUUCUAUAUUUAAACUAUGAUGUUUGAUGACUUGCUGAUACAAAAGACAUUGCCCCAAGCACUUUUUUACAUUAGCUAAAAUCAAGCCAAUCACUUCCAUUUGUUGCAGUUUUAAUGCAGAAAGAAAAAGGUGGGGAAAAAAUCUGCAAGAUGCCACUUGUAAUACCGCAUGUUCGCAGAAGCAGAGUUAAAUAAUUACAAAAUUACAUUCUUUAUGAAAGCUUGCGAUUAUUGGGAGAGCUCUACUCAAAUUUAAUGAGAUAUCUCUCAGAAGGGAGAGCUCUAAUAAUAUAUAAAGCCAAAAAUCUAACACUCAUCAAAUUGGCUUGUGAACAAUUAAUCUUCCUUGCCAUCAUAAAUGCCAGGUGUGGUGAACAAUCUUCAUUCUGACAUUUGCCUUAAUAAGCUGCUUAGUAUCCUUAACCUGAUAACUUACACAAACAAAAACAACUUCACUAAAGUUUAUUCUUUAAAGGCAAAACAGUAAACCAGAUGAUGUAUGCUGAUACAAAAAAUUGACCUGAGUUAUCCUGAUGUCAAGAAUCACAGAACCUCACGUGGGCAAAAUCAUCGCAAUACAAGAUGCUGAAUUCAAGCAACAUCUUAUCACCUGUAAUUUAAUUAAGACAAUAACUUUCCUCAACUAUUAGCCUUCUCAAUUUCAAUGUAUUAUUGGCAACUAAAUUCAUAGGGGACGCAGCUAAUUAAAUGCCCUUUUAACAAUAUCUUCCCCACCUAACAAUUAUUUGGAAAAUCUAAAUGACAAUCAUGCAUUGAUGGCAUAAAAUAUUGGCCACAAAGCUGCCUACAAAAAGGCUUUAAAUUCUUAAUGAGACAACGUAUUCGAACAAAUAUGGUGAAUGAAGAGACAAAGCAUAACACCUCAAGAAGUAAAGCUCUGUUUCUGUAUAUGCUCAAACCAAUGGAAACCCAUGGAAAUGGAUUUCUACGAAUUAGACAUGUCAGCCAAAACAGGUACUCUGUACAGGCAAAGUAAAAGAGAGUUACAAAAAAUUUUAAGAUAAUUAAACUUUUAAUAACCAUAUAAUUAAUAGAAAACUUUGUACACAAUGAUUUAUAUGAGAUUAAGAUUGUAUACCUAAGUUUUAAUUGCAAACUAAAUAUACACAACAUGAUAUUAGCAUUAGAAGACUGCACCAAAACGUACCGAAUUGAAUGUACCUUUUAACGGCCAUUGUACAUGCAUUGAAAGUUUACCGCAAAAUCUGUUUCAAACGUGAUGCAUCUUAGAGAUGCAAGAUGAGAAAUUGUUAGUACAACUAGCAUUGAAACAUGUGUGAAAACUGUUAAUGGACCUAAAUAACUUGAAAAUCAGAAAAGAUUAGGAAUGAGUGACUAAGCCUGCUAAUCACAACUAAUCCAAAACUGUUAAUGGACCUAAAUAAUAGUGUUAAUACCGAAUUCCUUCCUCCAUGGAAGCAUAUGAUCAGCCCACAUGUGCUUUGCUCUGUAGCUUUUGAGUACCUGAAAUUGUUAUUACAACCAGCGGUGAAAAUUGGGUGAAAAAAUGGUAAUGUUAGCAUAAUUGAAUUUGCUUAUAGAGGAUAAACCGAUCAAAGAAAAAAACAAGAUAGAAAUGAUUAUCUUAGUACCUUAAUAUCAUGCAAUAAAAAUCACCAUGCCUUCCAGGCAGCUGUCCAUCCUCAAUUGAAACAGAGCAGACCUGGCCAUCACUUUCUUCUUCAAAGUCCAGCAACGGAACGUUGCACACAACACCACAGUGGAAGUAGUUCCAUCACCAGCCUAAUCCUUGAUUACCCCAAUGUUCUCCAUAGGGUCUUCAAAGUCAACCUAAAAAUAAAAUGAAAAUGCAAUGCAUUAUUAUUAGGGAUCUAGUGCUUGAGCUUGCUUUGACAUCAUGGUAUUAGCAAAUUCUGAUAUAGCCAAAAUGGUGAAUAAGAUGAUGUACUUGAUAAGAAAAACCUGAUUUAACAAAUAAUUAAGAAGCCGGUAACAAUCACAUAAUCUCAUCAUGUGGGGAAUGCCUUGGUAACAGAAGAUGGUGCUUUCAUUCAAGCAAUAGCAACUUUCCAAUUUCAUAAGGUAGUUUAAUGGCCCUUUUAAGAACAUCUGUACCAGCCUAACAAUUAUUCAUGGAAAUUAAAAUUCAGAAUCAUAUUAGAUUGAGAGAUGAAAUAUAAUAAGCGAUUUGGCCACCAUAUAUGCAUUUAUCACCUUCAAUUUGCUCAUCUUUGUCUAGAGUAUUGCUUCUGCAUUAACUUAAUUAGCUUGCAAGCCACCUACAAAUGGUUUUAAAUAAUGUGUGAGAGUGUGAAUUCGAACGAAUUAAUCAAAUAUGCUGACAGGAGAAACAAAAGUAAAUAACCACAAGAAGUAGAAAUAUACUUUUGUUAUAUUCAGAGCAUCUUCUUGCGUCAAGUUCUUUUCCUUUAGCUCUGUUUCUGUUUGUGCUCAAACGCAAUGGCUCAAGGGUCAAGAUAAUUUUAUGACCAUCAAUCUUUUUGCAGCCACAUGCAGACUUGAAAAACAGGUCGUGGCCCUAAGGAACUUGAAAAUUAGAAAAGAUUCAGAAUGAGUGACUAAAUAUUAUAAUCGAAACUAAUUAAACAUACACGCCUAGAAAAUCUGAAACUGAACUUCUCAAAUGUAUAUGCCUCUUCGCAGCAAUUGCUUGUGGUGGAACUUUACUGCAAGGACUUUCUCAAACCCUUGAAGAUCACACUCUACCUGAUAACAAAGAAACAUAGUCAAUAUACGAAGAUGAUUUUACUAACAAGUGAGUGCUUACACAUAUUGGAAGGAUAAUGAUUACUCAUAACCCAAAUCCCCAACACUCCCUAAUAUCUCACUCAAGUGAGUUCGAGCCCCCAGAAUUCACUACUGUGAAACUCUUACAACAAAAUUCCCUUCAAAGAUUCUCUACUCAAAUUUGAUGAUGAUGUCCCUCGAAAGGAGGCAAAAAAUCUAACACUGAUCAAAUUGGCUUGUGAACAAUUAAUCUUCCUGCGAUCAUGCAUACCAGGUGUGGUGAGCAAUCUUCAUUCUGACAUUUGCCUUAAUAAGCGGCUUAGUAUCCUUAACUUGAUAACUUACACAAACAAAAACAACUUGAUUAAAGUUUAAUAUUUAGAGGCAGAACAGUAAAGAAGAUGAUAUAUAUUGAUACUAAAAUUUGACCUGUGUUAUCCUGACGUCAAGAAUCACAGCAUCUCAUGUGGGCAGAAUCUUUGCAGUACAAGAUGCUUGCAAAAUUGAAGCAGCAUCUUAUCACCUGUAAUUUAAUUAAGACAAUAACUUUCCCCAACCAUUUCAAUGCAUUAUUGCCAACUAAAUUCAGAGGGUGCUAAUUAAAUAGCCUUUGAACAAUAUAUUCUAAUUCUUCUCCAAUCUAACAAUUAUUUGGAAAAUCUAAAUUACAAUCAUGCAUCGAUGGCAUCAAAAUUUGGCUACAAAGCAGCCUGGAAAAGGCUUUACUCUCUGAAUGAGAGCAUGAAUGAAGAAACAAAUAUCAUGAAUGAAGAAACAAAGGCAUAAUACCACAAAAAAUAAAACUUUUUCCCAGGCUCUCUGUUUCUGUUUGAACUAAAACCAAUGGAAACCGAUGGAAAUGAAUUUCUAGGAAUUAGACAUAUCAGCCAAAACAGUUACUCUGUACAAGCAAAGUAAAAUAGGGUUACAAAAAAUUUUAAGAUUGAUAUGAUAAUUAAAAUUUCAGUCACCAUAUAAUUAAUAGAAAACUUUGGACACAAUGAUUUAUUGCAUAUUAAAUCAAAUUUGUGGAAAUUAUCGGCUGUAGUUACCUGGACAAUAUUGCCAACACCAAACUCCUUCCUCAAUUGAAACCUACGAUCAGCCCACAAAUGCUUUGCUUUGUAGCUUUUUAGAGCCUGAAAUUGUUAUCACAACCAACAGUGAAAAUUGGGUGAAAAAAUUGAUAAUAUUAGCUUAAUUCCAUAUGUUUAUAUAGGAUAAACCGAUCAAAGAAUGAAAAAAGAUAGAAACAGAGCAGACCCAGCCAUCACUUUCUUCUUCAAAGUCGCACAAUAACCACAGUGGUAGUCGUUCCACUGCCAGCCUAAUCCUUGGUCACCCCAAUGUUCACCUUGAAGUAUUCAAAGUCAACCUAAAAAUAAAUAAAAAUGCAAUGCAGGUGGAAAUAAAAAUUCUAUAAAUAAAAUAAAAUAAAAAUGCAAUGCUUGAGCUUGAGCUUGCUUUAGCAUCAUCGUAAUAGUAAAUUUUGAUAUAUCUUUACUUCUCUGUUCUUGUUUAUUCACAACAAGAUAUCAAUAGAAGAAGAUGGAAAUGAAAUUCUAUAAAAUAAAGCAAGUGAAUUACCAGCAGAACAUUUUAGCAAUCCUUUGGCUAAACUUUUCAUUUUCUUUGCAAACUCUCCUGCCUGCAUCAUUAAAACCAAAUUACACAAUUACUUUAAAGUGGGCUAAUCAAACAAGUAUGAAAUAAAACAAAGUGGGCUAAUGUACUACUAAAAACAAUUACACAAUUACUUUAAAGAAUUAAUGUCACGUAUAUUAUCACUAUACAAGAUAAAAUUGAUAAUUUAGUUUUCAACAUUACUGCAAACGUAUCACAGAGAUUUUGUUACACAUAACAAAUUUUCGUACAUUAAAAAAUAAAUUACAUUGCAUGAAAUUUUACAAAAGAGCACAUAUUUUUUAAAAACAAAUAAAUAUAGAAAUUUCAACAGACUACACUUGUAUUUUUUUUUAUUUAAUCUUUAGAAAACAAGUUUAACAGAUUUGAUAACUAGGAAGUUUUACGUAUUUAUACCAUGAUUGAUUCUAUACAGAAUUUUAAUUCAAAAUAUAAUUAUUUUUAUUAAUUUCAUUGCAAGCAACAACGAAGUAAAUCAGAGGAGCAGGAGAAAUUACCGGCGAGUGAUAAAUUACCGCGACCACUUGAUGUGGGGAAAGCGAGAUAUCUUAUGCCAGUCUUCUCCUUUCCCCUCUCUAUAACGGUUUUCCAGAAGAGGACAUUUGUCAAUAGUCAAUUCCUGCAGCGUCGACGUUCGAAGAAGGUAAUCCGGCAGCGCCUUCAAUUUGUUGCAAGAACGAACUUCCAAGGAAGAAAGACGUGGCAUGAUAGAGAUGUUUUCCCUCCUCGUAAUCCUGUAAUUCCACUCUUCCAAUUCUUCCAUUGCCCCAAUUAUGAGUGAUUUCAAUUUGGGGAAGGCAAUAACUGAUGGUGCUGAUGAAGAUGAAGACGGGCCAUCCUCACUGCUUUCUUCUAUUCCCAAAAACUCAUUACCCACUCUUUUUACACUUUUCAAGUGGAUGAUUACGAGUUUUUCCAGAGGCAAUUUUCCCAAAGGAGGCAAAUGCUCACACUUAACGCACGAGCGAAGAUAUAAAUUCCUUAGAUUGGUCAGUGAAGUCAACCAUUUGGGAAAAAUGUUGCGUCCAUAUAAUAUAAUCCCUAAUUUCUCUACACUCAAAGGCGGUUGUAAGGCUUUAAGAAGUUGUUCAUCUUUCUCUUUCUUCCUCCUCCUUUCUUCAUCUUCCCCAUCUACGACUCUACCAAACUCAAGACGCAAACGAAGGAGGUUUUGCUGAUUGUAAAGUUGUAAUCUCUCGACCUCAUCUAAACGGGACACAUUACCCAGCCCUUCAAUUCCACAUUCUCGAAGGAGUUGAAGAUUUUUCAGAGAUUCAAGCCUACAAGUAUUGCUACCAUCAACACCUCCACCCACCACAAACUUGUCUAAUGUUCGAAGACUGGUUAAUUUGGAAAUCCCUACUGGCAUGUAUUUCAACGAAUAAGUUUCAGCAUUCAGUAAACUCCUCAUGUUCUUUAACUUCCCAAUCCCCGCUGGCAAUUCUUUAAGAUUUCGGCACCGCCUAAUAUCUAGCUUUUGUAAAUUAUAUAAUUCACACAAAGUCUUAGGUAGUCUCUCUAUGCCUAAUUCAGACAAAUUAAGAUAUCUUAAAUGUAUCAAUUUUCCGACAUUUUUUGGAAUUUCUCUAAUCAAACUUGAGUGAAGACGAACAGGCGAGGAUGAUAGCCUUAUAACUAAUGAUUCCCUUAUAACUAAUGCCCUCAAACAUGCCAAUUUACUAAAUAACUUUCGAGUUUCUCUAAUCUUAUAUGUGUUUGGACAAAAACAUAGGCGCAACAGCCUUAUAACUAAUGCCCUUAAACAUUCUUUGCUACUACUAAAAGACGAAAGGAUGCUACUAAGAGACAGAUUGAAAUCACUUCUAUCAUAAAUUAAAAGGGUACGCAAUCUAUCAAGUCCACGAAUGGAUAUAGGAAAUGAAGUGCCUCUUUGAAAAUUUAACCCUAAGUGACGGACUUUGUCACCAAAAGAGUUUAUGACUGAGUCUUUGGUACCAUUAAUUUCUACCCACAAACAUUCUUUUCUACUUACAAAUUGGGCAAAAUCAUGUAUUAUGUCAUGCAUCUUGCAGCUCAUAAUAUCAUCAUCAUCAUCUUUUUUAAACUCUUGAAAGAAAGAGCGUGCUGCUAAAAUGUUGAAAUACUCUUCCCCAAUCAUCUCCAUCUCUUCGUCUUCUUCUGUAUUAAGAUAACCUUGAGCCAUCCAUAGUGAAAUUAGUUCCUCUUUAUUCAUAUUGUAGUUUUUUGGAAAGACAGCACAAUAUGAGAAACAUUGUUUUACCAUAGAAUUGGAGGGCAAAUCGUUAUAACUCAACAACAAAGGAGCUAAAAGACCUUGCCCAAUUGCUUCUACUUUCCACAUUUCACUCUCUAAAAUUCUUUGCCACUCUUUUACUGUACUUUUAGAGCGCAAGAGAUUCCCUAUUACCUUUGCAGCAAGAGGCAAGCCUUUGCACUUAUGUGCAAUUUUGCGCCCGAUUGGUUCUAAUUUUUCACGAUCCUCAAAGGACCUACGCAGAAAUGCCAUCUGCUUAAACAGUAACCAACAUUCCCCUUCUCCCAACUCCUUGACAGGGAUAAUAUCUAUUGAUCCCAACUGUAGUGCAACUGACCUAUCACGUGUGGUAAUUAGAAUUUUACUUUCAUGGUGGCCAUUCUUUAGACAAGAAAAGAAUGGGUCCCAUUUUUUGUAAUCUCCAUCCCACACAUCAUCUAAAACAAGAAAAAAUUUCUUCCCCGUAAUAUAUUCCUGAAUCUGUUUCAUAAGAGAUUCGAAUUCACUUAAACCAGAAGCUGACACGCCUAGACCUUCAAUGAUUGCUAUGGCGACCCUAAUCUCCUCAAAAGUGUCUGAUACACACACCCAUAUAACUUUUUCAAAAUUUCUUUUCACCUCAUCAUUAUUAUAGGCCAGUUGUGCUAGAGUGGUUUUACCUAUACCCCCUAACCCAACUAGUGAGAUGACAUGAAGGCCUUCUUGUUGUUCACUACUUUCACACAACAGCUUGCUUAAGAGCUCAUUUUUCUCAUCAACUCUACCACAAACCUCUCUCUCAUCAAUCAAGGGGAUGGCUCGCACUCGCUCUGGUUUCUUAACAUUGUUGCUCACAUUCUCAACAAAUUUAAACCUAUCUUUUUGGGAGGCAAUAUCAUCUAGCUUUCCAUUGAUUUCCCUAAUCUUGACGGCAAUGUCAUGACGAAGACUGAGUUUUUUGAAACUACCAAAGCAGUUUGAUAGAGCACAAAAGAAGGAACGUACCUUCUUCUUAUAAGGAGCAAGAGCAAGAGCAUUGUCAUCAUCAACGCCCUCAAUCUGCAAUUUGAGCCUUGCAGUGGUCCACUCCUCCAACACGUCUUCCAUGUCAUAAGAUGCGUCUUUGAGCUGAUCCAGCCAAAAAGUAACAGCAUUGUCGCGCUGCAUUUGCCUUUUCUCUGCAUCUUCCAGCACAGCUCGAAUGGCUCGAAGAUUGCGGGUGAGCUUUUUCACUUCUUCCUCGACACCAGUCACAAGCCUCACCUGUUGUUUCACUUCAUCAGCCGCAACAGAGCUCAGCUGCACCAGGAGAGAGGAAACGAUCGCAUCAACCAUUCUGACAAAGAAGACGAGAAUUCUGAAGAGUUAUUAGAUGUGCUUUUGUUGCGAAAAUGCUGAAGAAAAGGAGUUAUUGCAUUCUUUUAUACUGCAUAGAAAAGGUUUAUGCUUAUCCCCAACCCACACGUCAAUGAUUGUAGAAUGUUUAAUUUCCCUGAUUCUACUCCACUAGUUGUGAUGCGUAAUUAUAAAUAUUCUCAAAUUAUGUAUGAAAAUAGCACAAAUUUGGACCUACAAUGAUUUUUAUGAUUUUUGUGUCUUUACUUUUUCAUAAUCUUCUACUGUAAGGGUUCAGAUUUAAUUACUGCUUUAAAAAAUGAGCAAACAAAUAAUAUCAAGCAUUAACUAAAAUUCACAAAGGAAUAAAUAACGAAAGAAAAAAAGAUUGGAAAAGUCAUAGAUGUAAAAUAGCACAUUUUUUUUAAUAAUCUCAAUAAAAUUAUUAAUAUUCAUGUCAGUCCCUAAAAAAUUAAUAAAUAUAACUAAAAAAAUCUUAUUAGUCUCCAUGAUCAAAAUUUAUUGAAAUAUUUUUAGCGUGGGUUAAAAAAAAAAAAAAACUUUCCCAACUUCACACUAGCUAAAUCUUAAAUACAUGUUCCAAUAUAUAUAUAUAGAUAUAUUCUUUCUCGCAGACGUCCGUACAAAAUAAAGUGCGAAUACGACAUUUUCCAGUCUAUCAAAAUGAUUUUUAUUAUUGUAAAACUAUUAAUAAUAAACUAAAAUAUUAUAUUUGCAUAUUAUUUCGUGCAAAAAUAUGUAGAGAGAUAAUAUCUU
rnacentral:lncRNA from 1 species